rnacentral:lncRNA from 1 species
CACACCCCUACCUGGCGCGCCAAAUGUCGGAUUUCGGGUUCCGGCAGACCCUUGAGGUUCGAACACUGGGGUGCGCAUGGAGAUUUAACCCUCUGCCUUCUUGCUCUUCGCCGAAUCGCUAGGACCUAAACUACCAAACGGAACAACACAACAAACACAAGGUUUAUACUGGUUCAGGCCACCAUUGUGGUGUAAUACCCUACUCCAGUGUGUGGUGUGGUGGAUUGCCUCUCGGGCUGAUGAUGAACAAUACAAGGAAGAAUAGCCUCACGAGGGUCUGUUCUUGGCUGGUGCUACUUGGUUCUGGCUCUUGGAUUCUUGAUCCGGUCUCUAGCUAUCUCUACCCCGGGGGUGGCUAGUCCUAUUUAUAGGCAAAGGCCCUGGGCCUCUUCCCAAAUAUUGAGUGGGAAGGGCGCCAACAAUUAGCCAUUUUGAAUGGGAACAGCGGGUACACUUAUCCUGACUAAAGUUGGUCCUCGCCUGUCAAAGGCUCUGGUGGUGACGCCUGCUUGGGCUCCACAAUGACUUCCUUCCGGCCGUUGGGCUGGUCUUGGUCUUGUUGCACCGAAACGGGUGCCUUUGCUUGAUGCUCUCGCCUGCGCUUGCUCCCUUUGCACCAAAGAGGAAAGGAGGACACUGCGCGGGCUGGCACCCGACUGGCGCCCUUGGUCGUCAUGGCUUGCGUCAUGGGCACCUCGCGAGGUACCCCGCCUUGAACUCUCCGCCUCCUCGUGAGCCAGCCUGACGAGGCCGUGCCUGAGGAAGCUCCUUGUCAUCCGCCCCGCGAGGCUUGGCCCCUCGCGAGGGUCUUGAGCUUGUGUUAAUGGAGAUGGGCCGCGCUGGGCCCCCUUUCGAGCCAUGCCGCAGGCCGCAGGCAGGCAAGUCUGGGGACCCCCGUCCCUAGAACGCUGACAAGAACAUAUUCCCCAACUUUGAAUUCCCGUUUUUGGAUUCUUUUGUCAUGCCAUCUUUUAACUUUCCCUUUAAAUAGUUUGGCAUUGUCAUAACCUUGGGUUCUCCAUUCAUCUAAUGAGCUAAUAUCCAAUAACCUAUUUUCACCGGCAAGUUUGAAAUCAUAGUUGAGUUCUUUAAUUGCCCAAUAUGCUUUAUUCUCUAACUCUAGAGGCAAAUGACAAGCUUUUCCAUAUACCAUUUUAUAAGGAGACAUGCCCAUAGGAUUUUUAUAAGCUGUUUUAUAAGCCCAAAGCGCAUCAUCUAAUUUUUUAGACCAAUUCUUUCGGGACCUAUUAACAUUUUUCUGUAAUAUUAUUUUUAUUUCUCUAUUACUAAGUUCAAUUUGACCACUAGAUUGUGGAUGAUAGGGUGAUGCAAUUCUAUGGUUAACAUCAUACUUAGAAAGCAUUUUACAGAAAGCACCAUGAAUAAAGUGUGAACCACCAUCAGUCAUUAAAUAUCUAGGGACCCCAAGCCUUGGGGAAAUAACUUCUUUAAGCAUUUUAAUGGAGGUGUUGUGAUCAACACUACUAGUUGGAAUAGCUCCUACCCACUUAGUGACAUAAUCAACAACAACCAAAAUAUGUGUAUACCCAUUAGAGGAAGGAAAAGGUCACAUAUAAUCAAAACCCCAAACAUCAAAUUGUUCAACAAUAAGUGAAUAAUUCAUAGGCAUUUCUUGACGCUUGCCGAUAUUACCAAUUCGUUGACAUUCAUCACAAGAUAAAACAAAUUUACGGGCAUCCUUGAAGAGAGUAGGCCAAUAAAAAACCAGAUUGCAAUACCUUAUGAGCAGUUCUAUCUGCCGCAUGAUGCCCUCUGAGGGAGUCCUGGACUAGGGGGUGUCCGGACAGCCGGACUAUCAUCGUCCGCCGGACUCCAAGACUACGAAGACACAAGAUUGAAGACUCCGUCCCGUGUCCGGAUGGGACUUCCCUUGGCGUGGAAGGCAAGCUUGGCGAUACAGAUACGUAGAUCUCCUACCAUUGUAACCGACUUUGUGUAACCCUAGCCCUCUCCGGUUUCUAUAUAAACCGGAAGGCUUUAGUCCGUAGGACACAACAACCAUUACAACAAUCAUACCAUAGGCUAGCUUCUAGGGUUUAGCCUCCUUGAUCUUGUGGCAGAUCCACUCUUGUACUACCCAUAUCAUCAAUAUCAAUCAAGCAGGAAUAGGGUUUUACCUCCAUCGAGAGGGCCCGAACCUGGGUAAAAACAUCGUGUCCCUUGUCUCCUAUUACCAUCCACCUAGACGCACAGUUCGGGACCCCCUACCCGAGAUCCGCCGGUUUUGACACCGACAUUGGUGCUUUCAUUGAGAGCUCCGCUGUGCCGUCACCGAUAGGAAGGAUGCCUCCUCCCGUCUUCAAGGAUGGUAUUUUCGCCAAAGGAGCCUUGGCCGCCGGCCAAACUGUCCGGCUAGGUGGAUUUCUUAUGACCGCCCGUCUGGCCACCGCUUCGACAAUGACCUCUCAAGUCGUCAAAAGCAAUCUUCACGUCAGCUCGGAAUGCGCUGAGCGGCUGGAUCCAAUAGAGCUCUCGUCCGUAAACGAGCUCUUGGAUCGCAUCACCGCCCUGGGAGUCGCUACAGACUACAAUCAGAUUGGGCUUAAAACCGAUCUGAGAGAGAUUAACUCUCCCCAGGUCACCCACCACGUUGCAGUGGUAGAGGAACAAUGCGGCGACUCUUCUCCUGUAUUGAAAACUAGUCAUGUCCGGGCUGCCGAACCCUCCAUGCCGGAUUCCCGCGGAGGGACGGACUUCGAUCAAGCACUGAACCUAAAGUCAGGCAUUGGACCGGACUCAUUGGACAACGUUCCACUUUCCAAGCUUCCAAAUUCGGAAACUUCUCGGCCCUUGAGCCUUGAGAUGGGUAGGGUUCCGGACUCAAUUCCACCCACCCGCCCAGACAUAUGCGAUCUAUAUCUAAUCCGGCAAGAGCCCGCUGAAACAGUACAUCAUUACUAGGCCAGAUUCCUCCUGGUUAUGGACAGGAUAAAGGACUGCCAAGAGGAAAACGCAAUCUCAAUCUUUUGCAAUAAUUGCACGGACGAGGGAAUCUUGAACGCCAUCAGCCGUCGUGAAGUUACACGCUUCGCCGACCUGGCGUCCAUAGUACGAAAGUACUGUGCGAUGCAGAGUUUCCGGAACACUGAAAUUAAGUUUUGGGAUAAUCCGGCCCCGAAUACAACCCCAGUCCGCAACAAAAGGGUGCAUUACACUCAGGCACCGGGUACAAAAACCAAAAAGCAAAAAACCCAUAAAGGGCAUGGAACCGUACUGGAGGGGUGGCUUAGCGGACCCUGUAAAAUUCACAGUAUAGAGAGCGCCACCCCAACACAUAGCCUUCGAGCAUGUUGGAUAUUACGGCAGGUGGCCAAAAGUGGCGAGAAGCUUCUAGCCCCGGAAAACCACUCCAACAAUACCGGUACGGUAUCAACAGUCUUCGAGACCUUCGCGUCAAAUAAUAUGCGGAAACGAACAAUCCACAGCCUCGCCGAAGUCUACCAAGUAGCAACAACAAAUCCAUGGAGCGACACGGCCAUCACCUUCAACGCCAACGACGAACCUAAAUUCCGAACAGCCCGAGCACCAGCCGCACUGGUACUUAGUCCAAUAGUGGACGGCUUUCGACUCACAAAGGUCCUCAUGGAUGGCGGCAGCGGAUUAAACCUCAUGUACGAGGAAACUCUUCAAAAAAUGGAAAUAGACUGGAGCCGCAUUGAGCGAAGUAGCACAACCUUCAGAGGAAUAAUCCUUAGCCGGGAAGCGCGCUGCACCGGAAAAAUCACACUCGAUGUGGUGUUCGGCUCGCCGGACAAUUACAGAUCCAAAGAAGUCACGUUCCAGGUGGCCCCGUUCAACAACGGAUAUCACGCGCUAAAGCACUCCAGCUUCGAAGCUGGAGUUUGCAACUUCAAAACUACAGGUUUUAGCCCUCCUGCUGGGUGGCCAAGAGGAUGAAUAGGUUAUUCUAAUGACCAUAGGAAUAAGGAAGACUCGUUCGCUUUAAAGCAGCAAGACCGGCAAAAGUUCCUUCGCUAACCUGUUGGCUUAGGGUUGCCGCAAAACCGGCAAACUUAGAGCGGUCUCUGAAAGUGAAUAGGAGCAUAGCGGCAUCAUCCAAGCCAAACACGUCUCCUCAGUCAAGGGUCUUCUCACUUUUCUCUUCAGUAACAAAUAAAUUUUGCAUGUCUACUCUUGUUAGUAGAAUAGGAAUCGUUGAGAAAGAUUUUUCAUUUGAAUCAUGCAAAAAAAAUUUCUUUGUUUUUAGUUUAGUAUAGUUAUUUAAAGAAUAGAUAGAAAUAAGAUUGCGUCCAAUAGGAUUUGAACCUAUACCAAAGGUUUAGAAGAGCUCUGUCCUAUCCAUUAGACAAUGGACGCUUUUCUUUCAUAUUUUAUUCUUUCUUUUAUUUUUUUUCUUCUUCCGAGAAAAAACUGUUAGACCAAAGCUCUUUUAGGAAAUCAAAAAAUCCAGAUACAAAUGCAUGAUGUAUAUAUUAUAUCAUGCAUAUAUCAUAAAGAAGGAGUAUGGAGCCGGUAGUGGGAAUCGAACCCGCAACCCCAAGGUUAUGAGCCUUAUGAGCUACCAAACUGCUCUAUACUCUUAAACUAAAGAGGGGUAAGUAGUGGAUAAAAGAGGGUUGGAUACGCCCCUCUACCAAUAUCUAUACAAAUAGAAUAGUCCAUUUAUACAGAAUGGUAAAGAGGGCUCCUCUAUGAUUAUCAAUUCCAUAAAUCCAUACAAAUACGAAAGGGUAUUUUAUCCUUACCAACUGGAUCUUGUUGCACCCGGUAACAAACAUUCAUAAACCAUUUCUCGAAGUACGUGUCCGGAUAGCCCAAAAUGUCGAUAGUUAGCUCUAGGUCUUCCGGUCAAAAAACAACGUCGAUGAAGGCGUGUAGGUGCACUAUUACGCGGUAGGGAUUGCAAUUUUUCUCGCAUUUUAGUUUUUUCACUCAAACUCAAGGGAGAAACUUUGCUUCUUAUCUUUUUUUAAAGAUUGACGAAUCAAAUGAUAUUUCUGUUCUAAUUUCUGCCGCUUCUUCUCCCUCUGAAUCAAACUUUUUUUUGCCAUAAUGUGUCGUUGCUAUUAUUACCAAGUAUACGGUUCUAAUCCUAGAUGGAAAAAUAAAUAGAAAAAGAAAUCUAAAAAGGCAGAUCCUCCCUCUCUAUCAAGAGUAAUGAACUAGGUGCUGAUACAGUACAAAAAAACAAACUAAAUUAACCAAACUUGCCUGAUGUUGAGGCAAUCAAGAAAGCUGCAUAAGUGAAUAUAUAACCCACGGAAAAGUGAGCUAAUCCAACCNNNNNNNNNNNNNNNNNNNNNNNNNNNNNNNNNNNNNNNNNNNNNNNNNNNNNNNNNNNNNNNNNNNNNNNNNNNNNNNNNNNNNNNNNNNNNNNNNNNNNNNNNNNNNNNNNNNNNNNNNNNNNNNNNNNNNNNNNNNNNNNNNNNNNNNNNNNNNNNNNNNNNNNNNNNNNNNNNNNNNNNNNNNNNNNNNNNNNNNNNNNNNNNNNNNNNNNNNNNNNNNNNNNNNNNNNNNNNNNNNNNNNNNNNNNNNNNNNNNNNNNNNNNNNNNNNNNNNNNNNNNNNNNNNNNNNNNNNNNNNNNNNNNNNNNNNNNNNNNNNNNNNNNNNNNNNNNNNNNNNNNNNNNNNNNNNNNNNNNNNNNNNNNNNNNNNNNNNNNNNNNNNNNNNNNNNNNNNNNNNNNNNNNNNNNNNNNNNNNNNNNNNNNNNNNNNNNNNNNNNNNNNNNNNNNNNNNNNNNNNNNNNNNNNNNNNNNNNNNNNNNNNNNNNNNNNNNNNNNNNNNNNNNNNNNNNNNNNNNNNNNNNNNNNNNNNNNNNNNNNNNNNNNNNNNNNNNNNNNNNNNNNNNNNNNNNNNNNNNNNNNNNNNNNNNNNNNNNNNNNNNNNNNNNNNNNNNNNNNNNNNNNNNNNNNNNNNNNNNNNNNNNNNNNNNNNNNNNNNNNNNNNNNNNNNNNNNNNNNNNNNNNNNNNNNNNNNNNNNNNNNNNNNNNNNNNNNNNNNNNNNNNNNNNNNNNNNNNNNNNNNNNNNNNNNNNNNNNNNNNNNNNNNNNNNNNNNNNNNNNNNNNNNNNNNNNNNNNNNNNNNNNNNNNNNNNNNNNNNNNNNNNNNNNNNNNNNNNNNNNNNNNNNNNNNNNNNNNNNNNNNNNNNNNNNNNNNNNNNNNNNNNNNNNNNNNNNNNNNNNNNNNNNNNNNNNNNNNNNNNNNNNNNNNNNNNNNNNNNNNNNNNNNNNNNNNNNNNNNNNNNNNNNNNNNNNNNNNNNNNNNNNNNNNNNNNNNNNNNAUAGGUCUUACGUGUAAAGGAUCCUGUAUCCAUGAUUCAAAAUUUCCUUGCCAAGCUACAUGAAACAGAUUUCCGGACGUCCAUAGAAAUAUUAUUGCUAAUUGCCCAAAGUGAGAAGCAAAAAUGUUCUGAUAAAGACGUUCUUCAGUAAUAUCAUCAUGACUUUCGAAAUCAUGUGCGGUAGCAAUACCAAACCAAAUACGACGAGUAGUGGGGUCCUGAGCUAAGCCUUGGCUAAACCUGGGAAAUCUUAAUUCCAUAAUGCCUUUCAAAUCCUCCUAGCCACUAUCCUACUGCAAUAAUUCUCGCUAAGAAGAAUGCCCAUGUCGUGGCAAUUCCACCCAGAAGGUAAUGGGUUACUCCUACAGCGCGUCCUUGUAUAAUGCUCAAGGCUCUAGGCUGAGUAGCAGGAGCAACUUUUAAUUUGUUAUGAGCCCAAACGAUAGAUUCAAUGAGUUCUUGCCAAUAACCACGGCCGCUGAAUAAAAACAUUAAACUGAAGGCCCAGACAAAAUGAGCACCUAAGAAAAAAAGACCAUAUGCAGAUAAUGAAGAACCAUAAGACUGAAUGACUUGUGAUGCCUGUGCCCACAAGAAAUCUCGAAGCCACCCAUUAAUCGUAAUGGAACUCUGUGCAAAGUUUCCCCCUGUAAUAUGAGUUACCACCCCUUGAUCACUUAUAGUACCCCAAACAUCCGACUGCAUUUUCCAACUGAAAUGGAAAAUGACUACCGAAAUUGCAUUGUACAUCCAGAAUAAACCUAAGAGAACAUGAUCCCAGGCGAAUACUUGACAUGUUCCCCCUCGGCCAGGCCCAUCGCAAGGAAAGCGAAAACCUAGAUUUGCUUUAUCGGGUAUCAAACAGGAACUCCGAGCAAAUAAAACACCUUUCAAAAGUAUUAAUACAGUCACAUGUAUGGUAAAUGCAUGAAUGUGAUGGACUAAAAAAUAUGCGGUUCCUAAUGGAAUAGGUAACAAAGCCACUUUGCCACCUACUGCUACUAACUCGCCGCCUCCCCACGUUAAGCUAGUACUUGUUGUUGCACCAGGAGCUGUUACGCCAGGCGCAGUAGCAUGGAUAUUUUGUACCCAUUGAGCAAAGAUAGGUUGUAAUUGUAUGGCAGUAUCCGAAAACAUAUCUUGUGGACGGCCUAAAGCACUCAUGGUAUCAUUAUGAAUGUACAAGCCAAAACUGUGAAAACCUAGAAAUAUACAUACCCAGUUAAGGUGGGAUAUGAUUGCAUCGCGGUGUCUAAGGACGCGAUCUAAUAGAUCGUUGUAUCGAGUAGUUGGAUCAUAGUCUCUUACCAUAAAAAUUACUGCAUGUGCAGCAGCACCGACUAUUAGAAAUCCGCCAAUCCACAUGUGGUGUGUGAACAAGGAAAGUUGUGUACCAUAGUCAGUAGCUAGGUAUGGAUAGGGAGGCAUAGAAUACAUAUGAUGAGCUACAACAAUGGUUGUAGAGCCUAGCAUAGCUAGGUUAAGAGAUAAUUGAGCAUGCCAUGACGUUGUUAAGAUUUCAUAAAGACCCUUAUGGCCUUGUCCUGUAAAUGGGCCCUUGUGAGCCUCCAAAAUAUCUUUAAGUCCAUGGCCAAUACCCCAAUUGGUCCUAUACAUAUGACCUGCGAUUAGGAAAAGAAUAGCAAUAGCUAAAUGAUGGUGCGCAAUAUCGGUCAGCCAGAGACCACCGGUUACUGGAUCUAGUCCUCCGCGAAAAGUCAGAAAUUCUGCGUAUUUGGACCAAUUUAAAGUGAAAAAAGGGGUUGCUCCUUCGGAAAAACUAGGAUAAAGUUGAGCCAAAAGGUCCCGAUUCAAGAUAAAUUCAUGAGGAAGUGGUAUCUCUUUAGGAUCCACCCCAGCGUCAAGAAAUUGGUUAAUUGGUAAAGAUACAUGAAUUUGGUGCCCCGCCCAAGAAAGAGACCCAAGUCCUAAUAAUCCCGCUAAGUGGUGAUUCAACAUGGAUUCUACAUCUUGGAACCAGGCCAAUUUGGGAGCGGCUUUGUGAUAAUGGAACCAACCAGCAAAAACCAUUAACGCUGCAAAAAUCAAUGCACCAAUUGCAGUACAAUAGAGUUGUAAUUCACUAGUUAUUCCAGAUGCUCGCCAAAGUUGAAAAAACCCAUAGGUUAUUUGGAUUCCUCGGAAACCCCCGCCUACAUCACCAUUCAAUAUUUCUUGCCCUACUAUAGGCCAAACUACCUGAGCAUUGGGUCCAAUGUGAGUAGGAUCACUUAGCCAUGCUUCAUAAUUGGAAAAACGGGCGCCAUGAAAGUACAUGCCACUCAACCAAAGAAAGAUAAUGGAAAGUUGCCCGAAAUGAGCACUAAAGACUUUUCGAGAAAUCUCCUCCAAAUCACCAGUAUGACUAUCAAAAUCGUGAGCGUCAGCAUGUAGGUUCCAGAUCCAAGUGGUAGUAUCAGGGCCCUUAGCUAGUGUUCUUGAGAAAUGGCCGGGUCUAGCCCAUUCCUCAAAAGAUGUUUUUACAGGAUCCCUAUCCACAACAACUUUUACUUCUGGUUCCGGUGAACGAAUAAUCAUUAAGUCCUCCUCUUUCCGGACAAGACAUACAAAGAGACCCGCCAACUGUCUUUUUAGUGAAUCUUUGAAAGAUAUAUAUAUAUAUAUAUAUAUUUUGAAAGAUAGAUUUUGAAAGAUAGAUUUUGAAAGAUAGAUAUUGUGAUUAGUUCUUUUCUUUACUAUCUAACAUCCUUCCAUUUUUUUAGUUAUUCACUGGAGCAAUUAUAUAUUGAAGUCAAUCCGAGGCAAGUGUUCGGGUCUAUUAUGACAUAAAGAUUAGGUGCCUAACGGACAUUGUUUAUCUUGAAAAACAAAUAUUUCUCGACGUAAGAAAAAAAUAUUUUUUAUUUUUAAUUUAAGAAACUAGUGUAUUUUUCUAGUGUAUUUUUUUUGAAGGCAUAAGCUCCUAUCUAUAUCUACUUUCCUUGAGCAUAAUAUAGGGUUUUUUAUUUGAUUCUAAAUUCCAAGAUAACUCAUUGGAAUUAUUAAUAAGAUGGUCCUAAUAUAUUAGCAAUUUUUAGAUUGCCCCCUCUUUUUAUUCACUUUAUUACUUCUAUUCUAGACCCUAUCCCUAUGGUUUAUUCUUAUGAAAUAUCAUAUAAAAUAGAAGGUAUAAGAAAUGGAUAUAAUGAAAUUCUUGAUUCGAUCUUACGACCUAAUUUAUUCGAUUAAUGGAUCAACAACCAAACCACCCAUUUUAUGAAAAAGAAGGAGCAUGGUCUUAUUCAAAUUCAAAGCGCUUCGUAAUCUUCAACCAGUUCUGUGCUUCAAUAUAAUUUCCCGGAGUAAGCGCUAUAGCUUGUUUCCAAUAUUCAGCAGCUUGAUCAAACCAAGCUUCCGCAAUUUCUGAAUCACCCUCUAGAAUGGCCUGUUCUCCUCGGUCGGAAUAGGAAGUUCCUUCCCUUAGAACCGUACUUGAGAGUUUCCUACCUCAUACGGCUCAGAAAUUGCUAUCUGAAUUUCCCCUAUCUUAACUGAAUUCGAUUUAUCAAAAAUCAAUCCAAUUUGUUCUUGGGUCUAAGCAGAAGAAAUUAAUUACCUAAGUUUCAAACCCUAAUUUUUAUCAAUAAUCGGUUUGAUCUUUUUUCCCACCUUCAGAAGAAUGAAGCAUAGAUAGAUAUAGAGCCUUCGUUCAAAUUUUCUGAAAGGUAACUAUCCCGGUUUCAUAUAUGAAAUCUCUAUUGAAUCCUUGAAAAAGACUUUUUUCCAUACCAUAAGAAAGAAAAAAGAACUUACUAUCUUUGGGAUAUGAUAUUACACUGCUGCUUAAUCCCUUAGUGGAUCAGCUCUAUUACAUAAGCGGAUUCCUAAAUUUUGCCCCAUAUCAUGGGAUAAGUAAGCAGUUUUUUUUAGUUGUAUCGACCCAGUCGCUCACUAAUUGAUCUUUAUGGUGCUUUCUCUAUCAAUUUGAGAAACUUUAUCCAUAGAGUAGUAGUAUAGGCCAUACUUUCUUCGUUUUUUGAUUCUCGUGAAGUGUCCUUCCUUCCUACAGCUGAUAGGGAAAAAUUGUUGUUUUUACAAUCCCUAUGUAGAAAGCCCUUUUUUUCUAGUAUUUACUAGAAAAUUCGAUCCUCUUUUUUUUUCUUUCUAUAGUGGAGAUAGUCGCACGUAAUGACAGAUCACGGCCAUAUUAUUAAAAGCUUGCGGUAAGAAGGGGUUUCGUUCUAGUGCCCGGAAAUAAUAUUCCAAAGCCUUUGUAUGCUCUCCAUUGCUUGUGUGUAUAAGGCCUAUGUUAUAGAGUAUAUAACUUCGAUCAUAGGGAUCGAUUUCUAGUCGCGUAGCUUCAUAAUAAUUUUGCAAAGCUUCCGCAUAAUUUCCUUCGGAUUGAGCCAACAUCCGUUACGGUCGUUCAUUCUAUUCAAAAAAUCUCCGUUCCAAAACCAUACAUGAGGUUUUCAUCUCAUACGGCUCCUCCCUUCUGUACAUAAUAGUACUAAGCGAAAUAAUCUAUAGAAUCAAAAUAGAAUUAGUCCCGUCUCAUUAUGAACCGAAAGGGGCUGGUAUUUUUCCAAGAAAUCUCAAGCCAACCUUCCCACAAGAGGUUUUUCUUAACACCAAUGAAUUCUAUUAAUGCUAGAGGAAAACGAUAGCUCCAAUAAUUUCUUUGUUCUCAACGCCUCCUAUUUAGAGGAAUUAGCUACUUCAACGAUCUUUGAUGGUUAUAGGGGUAUCCAAAGUACAAACCUGAUGGUUGUUUGUUAUCCCAACCAUUCUUCCCAGCCCUGAUACCGAUCAGGAAAGGGGUAAUUUCUAACAAAGUUUUUCUCUUGUUGAUUCCUAUUUCUAGGUGUAGUGCUUUUCUCCCCUAUGUUGCCUACGGAUACUAAUAGAGUAGGAUUGGCCUGUAAUCCAUACCAUACCAUAUCCUGUAGGUGUAACCUUUCGCUCAAUACUCAAAUCUACAAUUGAAGUAUCUGAAGCCGCAUCAAUCGAGGAUACACGACGGAAGGAAUUGUUAGUUCGCCUCACCUUCCCNNNNNNNNNNNNNNNNNNNNNNNNNNNNNNNNNNNNNNNNNNNNNNNNNNNNNNNNNNNNNNNNNNNNNNNNNNNNNNNNNNNNNNNNNNNNNNNNNNNNNNNNNNNNNNNNNNNNNNNNNNNNNNNNNNNNNNNNNNNNNNNNNNNNNNNNNNGCAAUAAAAUAUUGGCUACAAUUGAGGAGGUCUUAUCAAUGAAAUUUCCAUUUACACGGGAUCUAGGCAUAAUUCCCAACCCAUUCUAUAUAGAGUUGUUUUCAUUCCUUCACAAAAUAACAUAAAAACAAACACAUUCGAUUCUUAUAAUUAUAAAUAAAUUGAUCCAUAUGCUCUACUCUAAAUCCAUAUGCUUUAAAUGGAUAAGAGAGAUAUGGAUUUUCCGCUCAGCUCAAAUUGUAUCCUUUUCCUUCUGCUUGGACACGAAGAGAUAUGAAAUAUUUGACUAAGACUGGAUUUCAUUCCACUUUCCUAUUUCUGAACAACAACUUAUGUUAUCAACUAUUUCGUGUUUUCAAAGUUAUUUUAUUAAUUGUCUCAUACCCUAUUUUUGAUUUCGAUAGUAUGGUGUAGCGUAUCUUAUGCAAACAGAAUUCUAAGGUUUCUUUAUUUUAUUUUAUUAUGCAAUAAGAAGAAUUCUUCCAUUUUCUUUUUCAUUAGUUGCAGGAAAACCCAAAUUAAAACUUUUAUUUUAUAGCGAGCGCAAUUUCUAGUAAAAAAUCCUGUAUCCUUCCACUUAGAUCAAAAGGAAUUAUUCCAAUAGAACUAUGGAAGCCCCGAGUGGUUGCGGUUGUACCUGUACUGCAGGAAUAAGAAAACUCGCUAUUCACUCAGUUUAUUUUCCAUAAUAAGUUAUGUAGGAGAGAUGGCCGAGCGGUUCAAGGCGUAGCAUUGGAACUGCUAUGUAGACUUUUGUUUACCGAGGGUUCGAAUCCCUCUCUUUCCGUUUUUAUUAAUUCAUCAACGUUAAGGAUCAUAAUGUAUCAAAUCAAAUAACAAUUUUUUCCAGCAAUAAUAUAAUAUCUUAUAUUAUCUUAUUUUGAUUUAAUAGAAAUUAGAAAUUCUCUAUAGCAAAUUACCGUGGUAUGUAAAAUACACAUAGAGGAAAAAAGAAAAAAAGGAUCCUAAUCCUAGGGUUAAUCAAUUUUAGCUAGUUGAUGGGAAAAUACGAAUUAAUGGUAAUGGUCUUAGGGUGAUUUAGUUCGGGGAAAGGGGAAGGGGAAGAAUAUUCUAUGAACCUUUCCUUUUUUCGUUAAGUUCAAGUCUGACGAGAGUAAUAUUCUACAACUAACAACUCAUUUAUUUUGAGACCGACCCACUUCCUAUCUAGGAUUUUAUUUACUAGUCCUUUAUAUUCCAACGUGUCAAUCGCCAAAUGCUUUGGCAAUUUCCCCGGGUCCGAUGAAGCAAUAUAAUUUUGAACCAGACCUUUUGAUCUUUGGUUAUCUUUCAUAGUAAUAAUAUCUCUGGGUUUGCAACAAAAACUUGGUAUAUUGACUAUACGAUCAUUAACUAAAAUAUGUCUAUGGUUGACUAAUUGGCGGGCCCCAGGAAUGGUUGAAGCCAUACCCAAUCGAAAAAGGAUAUUAUCCAAACGCAUUUCAAGUAAUUGAAGUAAAACCUGGCCUGUUGACCUUUUUUGCUUUUCCAGCGAUAUGUACAUAUCUAAGUAAUUGUCGUUCUGUCAGACCAUAAUGAAAACACAAUUUCUGUUUUUCUUGAAGACGAAUACGAUAUUGCUCCUUUUUCCUAGAAUUGAAUUUUUUUUAAGAUUACUUCCGGAUUUAGGUGUUUUUCUAGUGAGUCCUGGUAAAGCUCCCAGACGGCGUAUUUUUUUAAACGAGGUCCUCGAUAACGGGACAUGAAGACUCCUUUUUUAUUUUAUUGAAAUUUCAUUUUACACAAUUAAUUUCAUUGUAUUUACAUUACAGAAUACAUCGAAAUUAAAACUGAAUUAAACUACAGGAUAAACAGAGUAAAAUCAACUAAAGUACCCCAAAAAAUGGAAUUUCAUCAAAAUCUUUAUUUUUUUAUAUAUAUUAUUUAUUUUGUUGUUUUGUAUCUAGCAAAAUUGUAAGGUAAAAAACAUAAAAGAUCCUGGAUUCUCCAUUUAAUUCGGAAAAAAAGAGAUUCUUGUUCGUAGAACAUCGAUAGAGAAAAAAAAGCCGACUAUCGGAUUUGAACCGAUGACCCUCGCAUUACAAAUGCGAUGCUCUAACCUCUGAGCUAAGUGGGCUUACAUAACGGAAAUAGUGUAACAAAUAGAAAUAGGUAUAGUAUAGGAAAUCCGUAAAAUCUCAGAUAUUAGUUAUUAAUCUUAGCUAUUAACUAGUUCUAAAUUUGAAGUUAUACUUAUAAAAAUAAAAAAAUACUAAAACUUCUUAAAGAUAAAGUUAGCUUGAUAUGCUUAACUAUAGGAUAUUAAAAAAUAAAAUUAUAGAAUUUAUUGGUAUUUUCAUNNNNNNNNNNNNNNNNNNNNNNNNNNNNNNNNNNNNNNNNNNNNNNNNNNNNNNNNNNNNNNNNNNNNNNNNNNNNNNNNNNNNNNNNNNNNNNNNNNNNNNNNNNNNNNNNNNNNNNNNNNNNNNNNNNNNNNNNNNNNNNNNNNNNNNNNNNNNNNNNNNNNNNNNNNNNNNNNNNNNNNNNNNNNNNNNNNNNNNNNNNNNNNNNNNNNNUACAUGAGGUUUUCAUCUCAUACGGCUCCUCCCUUCUGUACAUAAUAGUACUAAGCGAAAUAAUCUAUAGAAUCAAAAUAGAAUUAGUCCCGUCUCAUUAUGAACCGAAAGGGGCUGGUAUUUUUCCAAGAAAUCUCAAGCCAACCUUCCCACAAGAGGUUUUUCUUAACACCAAUGAAUUCUAUUAAUGCUAGAGGAAAACGAUAGCUCCAAUAAUUUCUUUGUUCUCAACGCCUCCUAUUUAGAGGAAUUAGCUACUUCAACGAUCUUUGAUGGUUAUAGGGGUAUCCAAAGUACAAACCUGAUGGUUGUUUGUUAUCCCAACCAUUCUUCCCAGCCCUGAUACCGAUCAGGAAAGGGGUAAUUUCUAACAAAGUUUUUCUCUUGUUGAUUCCUAUUUCUAGGUGUAGUGCUUUUCUCCCCUAUGUUGCCUACGGAUACUAAUAGAGUAGGAUUGGCCUGUAAUCCAUACCAUACCAUAUCCUGUAGGUGUAACCUUUCGCUCAAUACUCAAAUCUACAAUUGAAGUAUCUGAAGCCGCAUCAAUCGAGGAUACACGACGGAAGGAAUUGUUAGUUCGCCUCACCUUCCCAAAGCGUGGGUUUGUUUGCUUUACAAAUUUGGUUCUCUCUAUGCCAACCCCUUCUCUUUUUCGUAAGAUUGAGGUAUAGGUAGGGCUAAAAAAAAGCAAAAAAAAGAGUCAAAUCGCACCAUCUCUAUAAUAAGUAAAUGCCUUUUUUUCUCCUGAGGUUAUCGGAAUUAUUUGCAAUAAAAUAUUGGCUACAAUUGAGGAGGUCUUAUCAAUGAAAUUUCCAUUUACACGGGAUCUAGGCAUAAUUCCCAACCCAUUCUAUAUAGAGUUGUUUUCAUUCCUUCACAAAAUAACAUAAAAACAAACACAUUCGAUUCUUAUAAUUAUAAAUAAAUUGAUCCAUAUGCUCUACUCUAAAUCCAUAUGCUUUAAAUGGAUAAGAGAGAUAUGGAUUUUCCGCUCAGCUCAAAUUGUAUCCUUUUCCUUCUGCUUGGACACGAAGAGAUAUGAAAUAUUUGACUAAGACUGGAUUUCAUUCCACUUUCCUAUUUCUGAACAACAACUUAUGUUAUCAACUAUUUCGUGUUUUCAAAGUUAUUUUAUUAAUUGUCUCAUACCCUAUUUUUGAUUUCGAUAGUAUGGUGUAGCGUAUCUUAUGCAAACGGAAUUCUAAGGUUUUUUUAUUUUAUUAUGCAAUAAGAAGAAUUCUUCCAUUUUCUUUUUCUUUAGUUGCGGGAAAACCCAAAUUAAAACUUUUAUUUUAUAGCGAGCGCAAUUUCUAGUAAAAAAUCCUGUAUCCUUCCACUUAGAUCAAAAGGAAUUUUUCCAAUAGAACUAUGGAACCCCCGAGUGGUUGCGGUUGUACCUGUACUGCAGGAAUAAGAAAACUCGCUAUUCACUCAGUUUAUUUUCCAUAAUAAGUUAUGUAGGAGAGAUGGCCGAGCGGUUCAAGGCGUAGCAUUGGAACUGCUAUGUAGACUUUUGUUUACCGAGGGUUCGAAUCCCUCUCUUUCCGUUUUUAUUAAUUCAUCAACGUUAAGGAUCACAAUGUAUCAAAUCAAAUAACAAUUUUUUCCAGCAAUAAUAUAAUAUCUUAUAUUAUCUUAUUUUGAUUUAAUAGAAAUUAGAAAUUCUCUAUAGCAAAUUACUGUGGUAUGUAAAAUACACAUAGAGGAAAAAAGAAAAAAGGAUCCUAAUCCUAGGGUUAAUCAAUUUUAGCUAGUUGAUGGGAAAAUACGAAUUAAUGGUAAUGGUCUUAGGGCGAUUUAGUUCAGGGAAAGGGGAAGGGGAAGAAAAUUCUAUGAACCUUUCCUUUUUUCGUUAAGUUCAAGUCUGACGAGAGUAAUAUUCUACAACUAACAACUCAUUUAUUUUGAGACCGACCCACUUCCUAUCUAGGAUUUUAUUUACUAGUCCUUUAUAUUCCAACGUGUCAAUCGCCAAAUGCUUUGGCAAUUUCCCCGGGUCCGAUGAAGCAAUAUAAUUUUGAACCAGACCUUUUGAUCUUUGGUUAUCUUUCGUAGUAAUAAUAUCUCUGGGUUUGCAACGAAAACUUGGUAUAUUGACUAUACGACCAUUAACUAAAAUAUGUCUAUGGUUGACUAAUUGGCGGGCCCCAGGAAUGGUUGAAGCCAUACCCAAUCGAAAAAGGAUAUUAUCCAAACGCAUUUCAAGUAAUUGUAGUAAAACCUGGCCUGUUGACCUUUUUGCUUUUCCAGCGAUAUGUACAUAUCUAAGUAAUUGUCGUUCUGUCAGACCAUAAUGAAAACGCAAUUUCUGUUUUUCUUGAAGACGAAUACGAUAUUGCUCCUUUUUCCCAGAAUUGAAUUUUUUUUUAAGAUUACUUCCGGAUUUAGGUGUUUUUCUAGUGAGUCCUGGUAAAGCUCCCAGACGGCGUAUUUUUUUUAAACGAGGUCCUCGAUAACGGGACAUGAAGAUUCCUUUUUUAUUUUAUUGAAAUUUCAUUUUACACAAUUAAUUUCAUUGUAUUUACAUUACAGAAUACAUCGAAAUUAAAACUGAAUUAAACUACAGGAUAAACAGAGUAAAAUCAACUAAAGUACCCCAAAAAAUGGAAUUUCAUCAAAAUAUUUAUUUUUUUUAUAUAUAUUAUUUAUUUUAUUGUUUUGUAUCUAGCAAAAUUGUAAGGUAAAAAACAUAAAAGAUCCUGGAUUCUCCAUUUAAUUCGGAAAAAAAGAGAUUCUUGUUCGUAGAACAUCGAUAGAGAAAAAAAAGCCGACUAUCGGAUUUGAACCGAUGACCCUCGCAUUACAAAUGCGAUGCUCUAACCUCUUAGCUAAGUGGGCUUACAUAACGGAAAUAGUGUAACAAAUAGAAAUAGGUAUAGUAUAGGAAAUCCGUAAAAUCUCAGAUAUUAGUUAUUAAUCUUAGCUAUUAACUAGUUCUAAAUUUGAAGUUAUACUUAUAAAAAUAAAAAAAUACUAAAACUUCUUAAAGAUAAAGUUAGCUUGAUAUGCUUAACUAUAGGAUAUUAAAAAAUAAAAUUAUAGAAUUUAUUGGUAUUUUCAUUCGAUCAUUAUAGACUUUAUUAUUUGUUAAUAAUUUGAGGAUUAAUAUUUCACUAAGGGGAACAUAGAGUCAGAGUAAAUAAAAUUGCUAAUUCUGAUUAGAAAAAAAGAAUAAAUAUCAAGCGUUAUAGUAUAAUUUUGAAUACUAUAAAAAAGUAAGACGGGAGGUGGGGGAGAUAAAAACUUUUGGAUAUAUUGAUUCGGAUUGAAUUGCAAAUACAUCAAGGAUAGAAUCAAUUCAAUUCUGAAUUGCAAUAAGCAAGCGAGGUCUCUCAAAUAGAGUCGAACUGAACUGCUAGACUACGUUGAGUGAUGAACUCAAUGGUUCAAAAAAAACUAAGAGAUGGAUGAAAUUACACAAGGAAUCCUGGUCUCAAAGAAGAGGGAAAUGGGGAUAUGGCGAAAUCGGUAGACGCUACUGACUUGAUUGUAUUGAGCCUUGGUAUGGAAACCUGCUAAGUGGUAACUUCCAAAUUCAGAGAAACCCUGGAAUUAAAAAAGGGCAAUCCUGAGCCAAAUCCGUGUUUUGAGAAAACAAGGGGUUCUCGAACUAGAAUACAAAGGAAAAGGAUAGGUGCAGAGACUCAAUGGAAGCUGUUCUAACGAAUCGAGUUAAUUACGUUGUGUUGUUAGUGGAAUUCCUUCUAAUUCUAAAUUAGAGAAACAGGGGUUUUGUACCUUAUACAUUUAAUAAACACGUAUAGAUACUGACAUAGCAAACGAUUAAUCACAGAACUCAUAUUAUAUUAUAAUUAUAAUAUAGGUUCUUUAUCUUUUUAAAAAAUGAAAUUAGAAAUGAUAAUGAUUAUGAAAUAAAAAACUCAUAAAAACUCAUAUCAUAAUUUUUUUUCAUUAUUGUGAAUCCACUCCAAUCGAAUAUUGAAUAAUCAAAUUCUUCAAUUCAAAUUCAAAGUUUUCGAGAUCUUUAAAAAAGUGGAUUAAUCGGACGAGGACAAAGAGAGAGUCCCAUUCUACAUAUCAAUACUGACAACAAUGAAAUUUCUAGUAAAAGGAAAAUCCGUCGACUUUAUAAGUUGUGAGGGUUCAAGUCCCUCUAUCCCCAAAUCCUCUUUUAUUCCCUAACUAUACUAUAUUAUUAUUAUUUAUCCUCUUUUUUUUCUUUUUAUCAAUGGGUUUAAGAUUCAUUAGCUUUCUCAUUCUACUCUUUCACAAAGGAAUGCGAAGAGAACUCAAUGGAUCUUAUCCUAUUCACUGAAUAGAUUUCUUUUUUAUUAGAGUAUCGGCAAGAAAUCUUGGUUAUUCACUCUAUUUUUAAGUUUUAUUUAAGUAAACCAUGCACAAUGCAUAGGACUACCCCCCCCAUUUUCAAAUUUAAAAUUUGAAAUACUUUAAUUAAUUUUUAGUCCUUUUAAUUGACAUAGAUACAAAUACUCUACUAGGAUGAUGCACAAGAAAAGGUCAGGAUAGCUCAGUUGGUAGAGCAGAGGACUGAAAAUCCUCGUGUCACCAGUUCAAAUAUGGUUCCUGGCAGAGAAAAAAAAAGAUCCACCGAAUAGGUAUUGAUCCAAAUACCUCGAGAUGGAUUGUGAUACAUAUUCAUUAAUAAUAUUUAUUCAUCUAAUUUGUAUUCCGCUAUUCCGAUGAAUAUUUUUUUAGUCUUGCUUAUCUUUAUCUUAUCUUAUUUUCCUAGUUGUGCUAAGUAAUGUGCGCGGUACAAAGUUCCUGGUAGAGAACUUCUUUGAGUCAUCCUAUUUUUCUGCUCAUAUGAAGGAAAUUAAUAUGCGAUUUUCAAAAUAGGGGAAUCCAAAUGAAACCCUUUUUUUGCUCAGUCUAUCUGGAAUGCUUUUGUAUAAUUAGGAAUUAAUUAUAAAUAGGUAUUCCGUUUCAUCUAGGAAAAGAACCUAAAAAUAUUCCUUGACUUGAAUAAAAUCUGGAGUUGUGUUGUAUAAGUGAGCAUGAAUUUCUUAUCAUUCAAUGAGCAUCUUGUAUUUCAUAAAAAUUGGGGGUUAUAUAAUCCUUACGUAAGGGCCAGCCUAUCCAACUUUCAGGCAUUAGGAUACGUUUAAGGCGCGGAUGAUUAUCAUAAGAGAUUCCCACCAUAUCAUAAGAUCCGCGUUCUUGAAAAUCGGCACUUCUCCAAAUCCAGAAGACAGACGGAAUUCUAGGAUUAUCCUUUUGGGCAAAGACUUUUAUGCAGACUUCUUCUGGAUUAUCUAUACCAUAUUGUAUUCUCGUAAGAUGAUACACGCUAGCUAAAGAUCCACCGGGUGCUACAUCAUAAGCACAUUGGGAGCGUAAAUAAUUGUAACCAUAUACAUAUAAAAUGACAGCAAUGGAAUCCCAAUCCCCUGCUUUUAUUUGUAAAGUCUCUAUUCCUCGGUGAUCAAAGCCCAAAGAUCUAUGAACCACCUCAUGUUUGACUAGCCAAUUAGAUAACCAACCCUGCUGCAUUGUCUUCAUCUCUCCCUCUUUGUAUAAAUAUUUCACAUUUCGGAUGCAAGUUUGAAAGAUUGCCCUGCUUUUUAUUUUUCUACACAAAAGAUCCCCCCUCCUAAUUCACUAAUUUGUAGGAAGGUACUGAACUUUUGGAUUUGAAAAAAGUUUCAGAAGAUAUAUCUAAUGUAGAUGGUGAUUGAUAGAGCAAUUCUUGCUCAUAAGUUCCUGUAUGAGUACUGCGCCUAACAUAAAGCUUGUGACUGGUAGUAAAACAUCUAUUUUUAUUUUGAGAUAGAGUUCGAUCCUCAACUAUUUCUCGCGAUAUCUUCUUACGAAGUUUUGUUAGGGCAUCUAUAACUGCCUCCGGUUUAGGUGGGCAGCCCGGCAAGUAGACAUCCACAGGAAUUAACUUAUCAACUCCCCGAAUAGUACUAUAGGAAUCCGUACUGAACAUUCCCCCUGUAAUAGUACAGGCUCCCAUAGCAAUGACGUAUUUUGGUUCAGGCAUUUGCUCGUAUAAUCUCACUAAAGAGGGAGCCAUUUUCAUUGUUACCGUACCGGCUGUUAAAAUUAGGUCUGCUUGCCUAGGACUUGAUCUUGGUACCAAUCCAUAACGAUCAAAGUCGAAUCAUGAGCCUAUUAAUGAAGCAAAUUCAAUGAAAUAACAACUGGUACCGUAUAGAAGGGGCCAUAAACUAGAGAGUCUUGACCAAUUCGAAAGAUCAUUUGGUGUAGUUGAAAUAACAGAAUUGGAACUUGUUUGGUCAAGUAAGGGAAACUCAAUCAAAUUCAUAACUGUCUCAAUAGAAUAUUUUCCUUCUUUUUUUUUGUCUAAAUAUUCAGUUAAGACCAUUCCAAGGCUCCUUUUCGCCAUGCAUAAACUAAACCAACAACUAAGAUAAGCAUGAAAAUCAAAGCUUCGAUAAAAACGGAUACACCCAAUACGUCGAAACUCAUUGCCCAAGGGUAUAGAAAGACGAUUUCCACAUCAAAAACAACAAAAACGAGCGCAAACAUAUAAUAGCGUAUUCGGAAUUGUACCCAAGCCCCUCCCAUGGGUUCUAUACCCGAUUCAUAACUAGAAAGCUUCUCUGGUCCUUCACUAACCGGGGCUAAAAGUCCUGAAAUCGAAAAUGCCAAAAUAGGAAUAAGGCUUGCUAUUAUUAGAAAUGUCCAAAAAAUAUCAUAUUCAUGAAGCAGAAACAUAAUGUACUCCCAUUAAUGUGGAAUAGGCGGAACUUAAAUUAGUCAAUUCAAUUCAGCAUUGUCAAUUUAUCCAAAACUUCUCUCUUUUCCUCGGUGAAACAAGAAUCUUUUUUGUUCAAACAAAAGCGCUUAGUUUAGCCUUUGUUUCCUCUGUGCUGCAUCUUCUUUAAAGAUUCAUCCAAUGGAAUCCCGACUCCCUUUCUUUUGGAUUUCCAUUCUAUUUAGAUAUGGUCUAUGUAGAUCUAAUUCUUAUAUAAAGAAAACUUUCUCGUUUCACUUUGUCUCACUUUCUCUAGCAUCUCUAGAAAAAAGAAUAGCUCUAUCCUUUAUUUAAUAUUUAAUAAUAAAAUAAUAAGAGACUAUUAAAUAAAAAUGAGAAUACUACUAAAUUAGAACCUAAUUAAGAUAGUAGGACUAAUCUAUGCAGUAUAAUUAAUGAGAAGUAAUACUAUAAAAUAAAAAUAAAGAACUCUAUUUCAGAACUAUGAGACAGAAUAUUNNNNNNNNNNAUCUUCUUUAAAGAUUCAUCCAAUGGAAUCCCAACUCCCUUUCUUUUGGAUUUCCAUUCUAUUUAGAUAUGGUGUAUGUAGAUCUAAUUCUUAUAUAAAGAAAACUUUCUCGUUUCACUUUGUCUCGCUUUCUCUAGAAUCUCUAGAAAAAAGAAUAGCUCUAUCCUUUAUUUAAUAUUUAAUAAUAAAAUAAUAAGAGACUAUUAAAUAAAAAUGAGAAUACUACUAAAUUAGAACCUAAUUAAGAUAGUAGGACUAAUCUAUGCAGUAGAAUUAAUGAGAAGUAAUACUAUAAAAUAAAAAUAAAGAACUCUAUUUCAGAACUAUGAGACAGAAUAUUCUGUUUUCUUAUUUACUCUUUACUUUAUUUUUUCUAUUUAAAUUUGAUCAAUUUACAUAAUGUAUCUAUAAACAAAGUAAUAAAUAUACUUAAAACAAAGUAGGAAUUCGCAAAAUGGAUAAAAUCAUUGCAGUUAUUAUAGGGAAGUCUAGAGAUAUCCUAUUUGAAGGAGGACGGGAUUCAAAUCAGGGAAAGGAUCCUUUCUUCUAUUGAUUUGAUAGAAAUUCGUUUUUCUUUUCCUGUCUGUAUGAUUUUGAUUUUCGAUGAAUGAGCCUUUUGUAAUGCUUUUAUCUCUAUUCUAUGUCGCAGGCGCCUAUCCAGUCUAUAAACAAAUACUAAUGAGAAAAUGAAAACUAUACUAAACUAAAGAAAACAUAGGAUAGAGAUCCUAAAAUCUAAAAAGGGCAUAUUAGGGCUAUACGGAUUCGAACCGUAGACCUUCUCGGUAAAACAGAUCAAACGGAUUAUUAUCGAAAUGAUUUGAACUGUUUCAAAGACCCAACAUGCAUUUUUUUGCAUUGGGCUCUUUCAUAAACUGAUUUAAAGAUCAGUUAGUCCACCAUACUUUUUCUUUACGGAAAGAUAAUGAGAUGGCUCCCUGUGCUCUGAUUGAUUUUUUUAUUAUGAUCUAUCUAGGAGCAAUACCAAAGUGUUUCAAAGGAGGAUUACCUUGACUUAGGUCUGCCUCCGGUCUAAAUUAAAUCAACCUAAAUGAAAUGGAGUCUCUAUCGUUCCACUGCAAGAGUUAACUAUGAGACUUCAUACACCUUAAAGUUCAUAGAACGAAAAUAAGUUUUUUGGAGGCCCUUAUCCUCAUUACGCCUAGCAUUUAGUGGGCUGGAUAUUUACCUUAUCAACUAGCAAAUCCAUAAGGGUUCUAUUUGAUUAGGCACCUGAAUUGGCACCUGAAUCGGACUGAACCGACUAUUUGUCAGGCUACUGUUCUCCUAUUCUCUCGAAUCUAUGAAGUAAGACAUUGAUUUUGCAAUAAGAUCGAUUAUGUUCAUUGCAUAAUAAGCUCCUUUGAAAAGCAUUGGCGCACGUGUAAACGAGUUGCUCUACUGAACUGAGCUAUAGCCCUUAUCAGAGAUAUCUUAACAUAUAGAUAAUUUCUUGUCAAGAUGAAUAUUUUCUAAUGCCAGAGGAUACCCCUUUGAUCUGUAUCUGUUUAGUAUUUAGUUUAGUAUUUAGUAUAUAACAGACCAAUAACAGAGCGGUAUUGCUUAGAAAAGGGAUUCAAUAUAUAAUCGAUGGAAGUAAUGGGUCUUCCUUUGUGGUGAUAAAUUGCCUACUUAACUCAGUGGUUAGAGUAUUGCUUUCAUACGGCGGGAGUCAUUGGUUCAAAUCCAAUAGUAGGUAAGUAGGUAGAAAAAUUACUAGAUAGCAUUGGACUUACUUCGCUUCACUAUCUAAUAACUUUUUCUACCCCUCUUCCCUUUUUCUUUGUAUCAACUAUAAACCACUGGAUUGUCUUCAAUUGGAUGGGGGAAUCCAAUUGACAGCCUCGAUUCGUAUCCUAGCUCGUCUGAGAGCGAGCUUCGCUUCAACCAAAUCUUUCGUACCCUCAGCUUUACUCAAGUUAGCUUCGGCUAUUUCAAGUGCCUUUUGAGCUUCUUCCGGAUCAAUAUCACUACACAGUUCCACAUCAUUUCCUAAAAUGAUGAUCUCAUUAUUAACUAUUCUCGCAAAACCGCUCCACAGAACCGCUGUUAACCAUUGGUCGUUGAGGAGGCAUAUUCUCAAAGGACCCAUAUCUACUGCUGUGUUAAUGGGGGCGUGGUUUGGUAAUACGCCAAUUUGGCCACUAUUAGUGGAUAAAAUGAUUUCUUUCACCUCACAAUCCCAAAUAAUUCGCUUAGGAGUCAGUACAUAAAGAUUUAAUUUCAUUUCUGCGAUUUGUUCUCCUCUUCUAAGGUUAUAGCUUUCGUGCUAGCUUCAUCGAUGUUACCCACCAAAUAAAAAGCCUGUUCAGGUAGGCCGUCUAAUUCUCCGGAAAGGAUUAGUUGAAAUCCCCUAAUAGUUUCCGCAAGAGCAACAUACUUUCCUGGAGAACCAGUAAAAACUUCUGCCACAAAGAACGGUUGUGAUAAGAAACGCUCAAUUUUUCUUGCUCUUGCUACAGUUUAAUGACCCUCUUCCGAUAAUUCAUCCAAGCCAAGAAUUGCAAUAAUGUCCUGAAGUUCUUUGUAACGUUGUAAAGUUUCCUUAACUCUUUGCGCAGUUUCAUAAUGUUCGUUGCCAACGAUCCGAGGCUGUAACAUAGUCGAGGUUGAAUCUAAAGGAUCUACUGCUGGAUAAAUACCCUUGGAAGCUAAUCCUCUGGAAAGUACGAUAGUAGCAUCCAAAUGUGCAAAUGUUGUGGCAGGGGCAGGGUUGGUCAAAUCGUCUGCAGGUACAUAAACUGCUUGAAUCGAAGUUAUAGAUCCCUUUUUAGUAGAAGCAAUUCUUUCUUGCAAAGAACCCAUUUCUGUACUAAGAGUAGGUUGAUAACCCACUAUGGAGGGCAUUCUCCCUAAUAAAGCGGAUACCUCAGAUCCUGCUUGAACAAAACGAAAGACAUUAUCGAUAAAUAAAAGCACGUCUUGCUUAUUAACAUCUCGGAAAUAUUCCGCCAUAGUUAGGGCAGUUAAACCAACUCUCAUACGAGCUCCCGGUGGUUCAUUCAUUUGGCCAUAGACUGGAGCUACCUUUGAUUCCUCAAUAUUUUUUUCAUUAAUUACUCUGGAUUCCUUCAUUUCCAUAUAAAGAUCAUUUCCUUCACGAGUCCGUUCCCCUACUCCACCAAAUACGGAUACGCCCCCAUGAGCUUUAGCAAUGUUAUUGAUUAAUUCCACGAUCAGUACUGUUUUACCUACUCCAGCCCCCCCAAAUAGUCCUAUUUUUCCUCCAUGUCGAUAAGGAGCUAAAAGAUCGACGACCUUAAUACCUGUUUCAAAGAUGGAUAAUUUCGUAUCUAACUCGAUAAAGGCAGGCGCAGAUCUAUGAAUAGGGAACAUUGCACUACUAUCUACAGGACCCAAAUUGUCAACAGGCUCCCCAAGAACGUUGAAAAUUCGUCCAAGAGUAGCUCCACCGACCGGAACACUGAGAGGAGCUCCCGUGUCAAUCACUUCCAUUCCUCUCAUCAACCCGUCCGUAGCACUCAUAGCUACAGCUCUAACUCGAUUAUUUCCUAAUAAUUGUUGUACCUCACAAGUCACAUUAAUUUGCUUAUUGUCAGUGUCUCUUCUCUGGACUUCCAAAGCGUUAUAAAUAUAAGGUAACAUGCCUGGGGGAAAAGUGACAUCCAGCACGGGUCCAAUAAUUUGAUCGAUACGACCUGUACUUUUUUCUUCAAUUGUGGAAGCCCCGGGAGGAGAAGUAGUAGGAUUGGUUCUCAUAAUUAUCACAUAAUUAAAAAAAGGAAUUUGUCGAAAUUUUCUUUUUUUUAUUGUUGAAUAAUGCCAAAUCAAAUAAAAAAAAUCCAAAAGUAAAAAGGAAAUGAAUUAGUUAAUUCAAUAAGAGAGAAAAGGGGACCAGGACUUGAUUUCGUUGCCCAAGCGAAUCCCAUUCAAUCGUUUACUCAUGGAAUGAGUCCGUUGGAAAGUUCAAUCAAUCUUCUUUUCAUAUACAUUUUGCCUUUUGUGGAGGAUCUGUGCCUACUCUACUUUCCUAUCUAGGACUUCGAUAUACAAAAUAUAUACUACUGUGAAGCAUAGAUUGCUGUCAACAAAGAAUUUUAUUAGUAUUUAGUUAGGUAUUUGCAUUCAAAAUAAGAAAAGAGAACUAUUAAGAACUUUUGAAAUAAGGAUUAGGAAUUAAUUUGGGUUGCGCUAUAUCUAUCAAAGAGUAUACAAUAAUUAUGGAUUUGGUAAAUCAAAUCCAUGGUUUAAUAACGAACCGUGUUAACUUACCAUAACAACAACUCAAUUCCUAUCGAAUUCCUAUAGUGGAAUUCCUAUAGGAUAGAACAUACACAGGCUGUACGCAUUAUAUAUGAAUGAAACAUAUUCAUUAACCUAAGCAUGCCCUCAAUUUUCUUUAAUGAGUUGAUAUUAUAUUAAUUGAAUAUCCUUUUUGUUUUACGAGAUUUUUGCUAAAGUUUCAUUUACGCCUAAUUAACAUUGAGUAGACCCUAUUAUUGUGAGAAUUAUUAAUUCAAGAGUUAUAGGGAGGGACUUAUGUCACCACAAACAGAAACUAAAGCAGGUGUUGGAUUUAAAGCUGGUGUUAAAGAUUAUAAAUUGACUUACUACACCCCAGAGUAUGAAACUAAGGAUACUGAUAUCUUGGCAGCAUCCCGAGUAAGUCCUCAGCUUGGGGUUCCGCCCGAAGAAGCAGGGGCUGCAGUAGCUGCCGAAUCUUCUACUGGUACAUGGACAACUAUUUGGACUGAUGGACUUACCAGUCUUGAUCGUUACAAAGGACGAUGCUAUCACAUCGAGCCUGUUGCUGGGGAAGACAGCCAAUGGAUCUGUUAUGUAGCUUAUCCAUUAGACCUAUUUGAAGAGGGUUCCGUUACUAACAUGUUUACUUCCAUUGUAGGUAACAUAUUUGGUUUCAAAGCCCUACGUGCUCUACGUUUGGAGGAUCUACGAAUUCCCCCUACUUAUUCAAAAACUUUCCAAGGCCCGCCUCAUGGUAUCCAAGUUGAAAGAGAUAAGUUGAACAAGUAUGGUCGUCCUUUAUUGGGAUGUACUAUUAAACCAAAAUUGGGAUUAUCCGCAAAAAAUUAUGGUAGAGCGUGUUAUGAGUGUCUACGUGGUGGACUUGAUUUUACCAAAGAUGAUGAAAACGUAAACUCACAACCAUUUAUGCGCUGGAGAGACCGUUUUGUCUUUUGUGCCGAAGCUAUUUAUAAAUCACAGGCCGAAACCGGUGAAAUCAAGGGGCAUUACUUGAAUGCGACUGCGGGUACAUGGACAACUGUUUGGACUGAUGGACUUACCAGUCUUGAUCGUUACAAAGGACGAUGCUAUCACAUCGAGCCUGUUGCUGGGGAAGACAGCCAAUGGAUCUGUUAUGUAGCUUAUCCAUUAGACCUAUUUGAAGAGGGUUCCGUUACUAACAUGUUUACUUCCAUUGUAGGUAACGUAUUUGGUUUCAAAGCCCUACGUGCUCUACGUUUGGAGGAUCUACGAAUUCCCCCUACUUAUUCAAAAACUUUCCAAGGCCCGCCUCAUGGUAUCCAAGUUGAAAGAGAUAAGUUGAACAAGUAUGGUCGUCCUUUAUUGGGAUGUACUAUUAAACCAAAAUUGGGAUUAUCCGCAAAAAAUUAUGGUAGAGCGUGUUAUGAGUGUCGACGUGGUGGACUUGAUUUUACCAAAGAUGAUGAAAACGUAAACUCACAACCAUUUAUGCGCUGGAGAGACCGUUUUGUCUUUUGUGCCGAAGCUAUUUAUAAAUCACAGGCCGAAACCGGUGAAAUCAAGGGGCAUUACUUGAAUGCGACUGCGGGUACAUGUGAAGAAAUGAUUAAGAGAGCUGUAUUUGCAAGAGAAUUAGGGGUUCCUAUUGUAAUGCAUGACUACUUAACUGGGGGAUUCACCGCAAAUACUACUUUGGCUCAUUAUUGCCGCGACAAUGGCCUACUUCUUCACAUUCACCGUGCAAUGCAUGCAGUUAUUGAUAGACAGAAAAAUCAUGGUAUGCAUUUCCGUGUAUUAGCUAAAGCAUUGCGUAUGUCUGGGGGAGAUCAUAUCCACUCCGGUACAGUAGUAGGUAAGUUAGAAGGGGAACGCGAAAUGACUUUAGGUUUUGUUGAUUUAUUGCGCGAUGAUUUUAUUGAAAAAGAUCGUGCUCGCGGUAUCUUUUUCACUCAGGACUGGGUAUCCAUGCCAGGUGUUAUACCGGUAGCUUUAGGUGGUAUUCAUGUUUGGCAUAUGCCAGCUCUGACCGAAAUCUUUGGGGACGAUUCUGUAUUACAAUUUGGUGGAGGAACUUUAGGACAUCCUUGGGGAAAUGCACCUGGUGCAACAGCUAAUCGAGUGGCUUUAGAAGCCUGUGUACAAGCUCGUAACGAAGGGCGCGAUCUUGCUCGCGAAGGUAAUGAAAUUAUCCGAGCAGCUUGCAAAUGGAGUCCUGAACUAGCCGCAGCUUGUGAAGUAUGGAAGGCGAUCAAAUUCGAGUUCGAGCCGGUAGAUACUAUUGAUAAGUAGAUAAAACUAAAGAUAAAGAAGAGAAGGUAUAAAUAAAAAAGAAACGAAAUAAAAAGAGAAAAAAAUAAGUUAUGAAAUGCAGUAAUUCUUCUUUAUUCUUCUAAUUGAUUGCAAUUAAACUCGGCUCAAUCUUUUUUUUUCUAAAAAAGAUUGAGCCGAAUAAAAAUAGAUCAUGAUAUGAUCAUGAGACUUGACAAAUCGAGAUUCGUCUAUUCUAUAUAUCUAGAGUAUAUAUAUUAAGGUAUAAUACAAUAAAGAAAUACAAAUAAAAUAAUAAAAUAUAGUAUUAUCAUAUGAUAAUGGAAUCAAAUAUGCAGUAUUUACAGAAAAAAGCCUUCGUUUAUUGGGAAAGAAUCAAUAUACUUUUAAUGUCGAAUCGGGAUUCACUAAGACAGAAAUAAAGCAUUGGGUCGAACUCUUCUUUGGUGUUAAGGUGGUAGCUGUGAAUAGCCAUCGACUACCUGGAAAAGGUAGAAGAAUAGGAACUAUUCUGGGCCAUACAAUGCAUUACAGACGUAUGAUCAUUACCCUUCAACCGGGUUAUUCUAUUCCACUUCUAGAUAGAGAAAAAAACUAAAGGAGAAUGAAUGAAAAAAGACAUAGUUUGGAAGUUAGACCUUUUUAUAGGACUCUCUUUCAAUUUCAAAAAAGAGGACGUUUGAAACUUUUAACAGGCAUAAUCGUGAGUCAACAAGUGACUCAAACUGUGUGUAAAAAAAGAAGCAUUUUUUACAGAAUAUUUUUCAAACUAAAAAUAAAAAAUACAAUACAAUAGUCAAUAUUCCUUAUAAUAGAUAUACUUAAUUAUAUCAUAAGAAUCUUAAGAUAUUUUUCGACUAGAUAGAAAUAGUAAAUUUGAAUUGAGACACCUAUUCCAUGACGGAUUUAAACUUAACUUCUAUUUUCGUGCCUUUAGUAGGCUUAGUAUUUCCGGCAAUUGCAAUGACUUCUUUAUUUCUUUAUGUGCAAAAAAAUAAGAUUGUCUAGUAUUUUUUAGUGUAAGUAAUAUAAUAUGGUAGGGUAUGUGGCUUUUUCUACACACACUUUCUACACACAAAUGAAAAACGGUUAUGGAUGCGGAUAUAGGCUACGAGCAUAAAUGCAUGAAUAUGCAGAGCCAGGUAUAGCGAGUUUUAUUUUAUUUAUUUUAAUUGAAUCAACGAAUAUUUUUUGAAUAGAAAGUCAAUGUAUCUAACCUAUUAUUUCACAGGAGUACUAGUUGCUGAAGGCGAUUUCAGAAUCAAAAAAAGUGAAGUCAAAAUUAUUUAGCUUAUUCUCUCAAUUUCAAUCGACCGCUGCUGGAUUUAGUAUAUCUAAUAUGAAUUGGCGAUCAGAACACAUAUGGGUAGAACUUCUAAAAGGUUCUCGAAAAAGGGGUAAUUUUUUCUGGGCCUGUAUUCUUUUUCUAGGUUCACUAGGAUUCUUAUCGGUUGGGAUUUCCAGUUAUCUUGGUAAGAAUAUUAUAUCUAUACUUCCAUCUCAAGAAAUUCUUUUUUUUCCGCAGGGGGUCGUGAUGUCUUUCUACGGAAUCGCAUGCCUAUUCAUUAGCUCCUACUUGUGGUGUACUAUUUUGUGGAAUGUAGGUAGUGGUUAUGACCGAUUCGAUAGAAAAGAGGGAAUAGUGUGCAUUUUUCGUUGGGGAUUCCCUGGAAUAAAACGUCGCGUCUUCCUUCGAUUCCUUAUGCGAGAUAUCCAAUCAAUUAGAAUUCAGGUUAAAGAGGGUCUUUAUCCUCGUCGUAUUCUUUUUAUGGAAAUCCGGGGCCAGGGGAUCAUUCCCUUGACUCGUACUGAUGAUAAAUUUUUUACUCCACGAGAAAUUGAACAAAAAGCUGUCGAAUUGGCCUAUUUCUUGCGCGUACCAAUUGAAGUAUUUUGAGGUAUCUUUUUUGAACUGAGUUGAAUGAAGAAAAGAAGAAUUGGAAGAAGAAAAGUUUUCUCAACACGGGGAGGAAGUCCCUUCUAAAUUGGGUUUGUUAUUGUAAGGGGAUUUUUAAGUAUUUAUCUAAAGGAAGGAACAAACGAGGAUAAGAGAAAUUUGCUUUUAAUUUUUUUAUCCAAGUGAGAUAUAUCGCAUACUAUUCUUCCUUUUUCAUCCGAAAGGGCUUUUUUAUUCUAUUUCACUAUUUCAUUCCAUCUAGAUCUAAGAAAGAACCCAAUGCACUGAAAUUCCACUAAUAACUAAUAUACAAAAAAGAAGAAUAGAUACAGGGUAUCAAACCUAUAGAGUUUUUGCUUCAAAGAAAUAGAAAUAUCAUGAAAUAGAAAUAUCAUCAUAUAGAGUCAGGGAAUGGAAUAGAGUCAGCGAAUGAAGCAUAUUCAUUAACAACUCCAUUUACAGAUCAAAAAUGAAAAAAAAGAAAGCAUUGCCUUCUUUACUAUAUCUUGUAUUUAUCGUACUUUUGCCUUGGGGGGUCUCUUCCUCAUUUAACAAAUGUCUGGAACUUUGGAUUAAGAAUUGGUGGAAUACCAGGCAAUCCGAAACUCUCUUAACUGAUAUUCAAGAGAAAAGGAUUCUAGAAAGAUUCAUAGAAUUAGAAGAACUGUCUCUCUUGGACGAGAUGAUAAAAGGGAAACUAAAGACACAUGUACAAAAACCUCCUACAGGAAUACACAAGGAAAUAAUACAAUGGGUCAAAAUAAAUAAUGAGGAUCAUCUCCAUACCAUUUUGCAUUUCUCGACAAAUAUAAUCUGUUUGGCUAUUCUAAGUGGUUCUUUUUUUCUGGGUAAAGAGGAACUUGUCAUUUUGAAUUCUUGGGUUCAGGAAUUCUUCUAUAAUUUAAAUGACUCAAUAAAAGCUUUUUUUAUUCUUUUAGUUACUGAUUUUUUUGUUGGAUUUCACUCCACCCGUGGUUGGGAACUAGUAAUUCGUUGGGUCUACAACGAUUUUGGAUGGGCUCCUAACGAGCUUAUUUUCACUAUUUUUGUUUGUAGUUUUCCAGUAAUUCUAGAUACAUGUUUGAAAUUUUGGGUCUUUUUUUUGUUUAAACCGUCUAUCUCCUUCGCUUGUAGUCAUUUAUCAUUCAAUUAGUGAAGCAUAAAUUCAUUCGAUCUCCCGAUAUUAAUAUUAAUCAAAUUAGCAAGCAUCUUUUUUAGAAAGAAAGCCCUUUUCCAUUUUAGCAAAAUUCUUUCUAUUUAUACCUACUUUAAGGUAUUCAUCAUUGCAGUACAACUGUUGCAGUAGAAUGACAACAGAUUCGUGUAUAGAGAACUAGAUUAGCUUAGCUACCUAUCUAAUUUAUUGUAGAAAUUCUGGGAUCUGCGAUUGGACAUGGAAAAUAGAAAUACUUUUUCUUGGGUAAAGGAACAGAUAACUCGAUCGAUUUCUGUAUCGAUCAUGAUAUACGUAAUAACUCGGACAUCUAUUUCAAAUGCAUAUCCCAUUUUUGCGCAGCAGGGUUAUGAAAACCCACGAGAAGCAACUGGACGAAUUGUAUGUGCCAAUUGCCAUUUAGCUAGCAAGCCCGUCGAUAUUGAAGUUCCCCAAGCUGUGCUUCCCGAUACUGUAUUUGAAGCAGUUCUUCGAAUUCCUUAUGAUAUGCAAUUGAAACAAGUUCUUGCUAAUGGAAAAAAGGGAGGGUUGAAUGUAGGUGUUGUUCUUAUUUUGCCCGAGGGAUUCGAAUUAGCGCCGCCGAUCGUAUUUCCCCUGAGUUAAAAGAAAAGAUAGGAAAUCUUGCUUUUCAGAGUUAUCGUCCCGAUAAAAAAAACAUUCUUGUGAUAGGCCCUGUUCCCGGUAAGAAAUAUAGUGAAAUUGUCUUUCCCAUUCUUUCCCCUGAUCCUGCUACGAAGAAAGAUGCUCAUUUCUUAAAAUAUCCCAUAUAUGUAGGGGGAAACCGAGGAAGAGGACAGAUCUAUCCUGAUGGUAGCAAGAGUAACAAUACAGUCUAUAAUGCUACGUCAACAGGUAUAGUAAGAAAAAUACUACGUAAAGAAAAAGGGGGGUAUGAAAUAUCCAUAGUUGAUGCAUCAGAUGGACGCCAAGUGAUUGAUAUUAUACCUCCCGGACCAGAACUUCUUGUUUCAGAGGGGGAAUCCAUCAAGCUUGAUCAACCAUUAACAAGCAAUCCUAAUGUGGGAGGUUUUGGUCAGGGGGACGCAGAAAUCGUGCUUCAGGAUCCAUUACGUGUCCAAGGCCUUUUCUUCUUCUUCGCAUCCAUUAUUUUGGCACAAGUUUUUUGGUUCUCAAAAAGAAACAGUUUGAAAAGGUUCAAUUGUACGAAAUGAAUUUCUAGGUCUCGCGAUUUCUUACCAUCAAGUUGGUAAAAAGCCUCGAUUUAUUGGCAAUUGCUAGAAUUAUCUAUGAUCUAUUUUGGAAAUCCUUUUUUGUUUAGACUAUUUUUUGUUUAUGAGAUGUCUGGAAUUCCUUAUUUAUAUCCCAUGCAAAAGAAGAGAAUCCAAGGCAAAGGCGAGAACAAUAAAAUUAAAUUUUCUUCCUUUUUGGAGGGAUUGCAGGUCUUCUUAAUCGUCUAUUCGGCACAAGAAAAAGGCUUUUUCUUGUGCCGAUUCUUCUUGUAUCAAAAUAAGAAUCCUUUUUCUUCCUAAUUCGUCAAAGAUUACUAUUUCUUCUUUAUUCGGGUCUGUCUCUUGGACCUCUUUUUCUUUUGCUUAGGUUUAGCCGAGGUAGUGGAAAAACAGAGGGGAAGAAAAUAUGGCGGGGGACAAAUUUCUUGUGAUUGUGAACAAAUAGAAUUGCUUGGCUUGUUUAAUUAAGUUUAACUUCAAAUUUACAGAAAUUUUGCAAAAAAAAAGUAAACUCUUCCAUUGAAGGUUUUUUUUAGGCUAGUUGAAUAGUUUUGAUUAAGGUUUUAUUAGUUUAUUACUCGAAACUAAAUCAAGGAUUUUCAGGAUACUUCCUUCGUGGAAUAAGAUAUUGGAUCCUCGAGUGAUCUCUUUUUCUUGUUGCUUCAUAAGAGUGAAUCGAAUAGAAUCAAUUCGCGUUAUAAGAGUAAAAAUUCCGCGGGUCCUUUCCGCUCUAAUCAGAUAAAGGGGGGUAAGGACCCGCUAAGCUCCUACUUUUUCAUGUUUACAAUCUGGUCCCUCCGAUUACUAUCGAGAUGAACCCAAUCCAGAAUAUGAACCAUAAAAGAAAACACCUACUAAACCAAUCACAGCAAUACCGGCUACAGUACCUAUCAGCCAAAGAGGAAUUCUUCCAGUAGUAUCGGCCAUUUCCCCUACUUUCCUCCACAUUUUAUCAAUUGGUCAUGCUAGAGACAAAAACAUUCAUGAGUAGUUAUAAGGACGGUAUCCUUCCAAAUGGGAUAAGAGAAUUCUUAUUAGUCUCUUUCUUUCUCUCAAUUGAAGAAGUAAUUGGAAAAUAAAACAGCAAGUACAAAAAUGAGUAAUAAACCCCAGUAUAGACUGGUACGAUUCAAUUCAACAUUUUGUUUCAUUCGGGUUUGAUUGUGUCAUAGUUCUAUAGUUGGAAUUUGGUUUAUCGUUGGAUGAACCGCAUUGCUGAUAUUGAUCCCAAGAAAAAAACAGUAGGUACAGCUAGUCCGUGAAUAGCCAGCCAUCGCACUGUGAAAAUAGGAUAGGUUCGAUCUAUGGUCAUUGAGGGCCUCCUAAAAGGAUCUACUAAAUUCAUCGAGUUGUUCUAAAGAAUCAAAACGGUCGGUUAUUAACGGAAUUCCUUGUCGGCUUUCCGUGAAAUACUCGUUUGGCCUAGGACUUCCAAACACGUCAUAAGCUAAACCCGUACUGACAAAUAACCAACCCGCAAUGAAUAGGGAAGGUAUAGUAAUGCUAUGAAUAACCCAGUAUCGAAUACUGGUAAUAAUAUCAGCAAAAGAACAUUCUCCCAUGCUUCCAGACAUGCUGAACUCCCAAAAUUUUUGUACAUUCAAAAAAGGAAUUGAUUCCGUAAAAGAUGGGAUCGACCAGUAAAUAGAAAAUUACUGAUAUUUCAUCCUUAUGAGAUUGUCAAUUUUCUACCAAAGGUGUAUUUUGAGUAUACCGAAUUAGUAUAGCUAUCCUUCCUGUGGCACAACAAUCUGGUUUUGCCUGGUUCCGAAACAUAAUUACUUUUUUAUUUUUUUUAUUUUUUGUCUAUAGGUAAGCUAUAUGUUAUUCAAGGCAUCAAUAGAAAACCCCAUUUUUGUAGGUUCUACUUACCUUUCAUUGGCUUCGGAAUAAUAGAGUAAUUCGGAAUAGCAGCCAAAAUCUUGGGAAAAUCUAAGUUAAUGAUCAAUAGGUUUGGAUAAAUAAUUUAGGAAGGAUAUUCUCAUACUGACACAAUACAAGGACAAGUAUAUGUGAAAUCUAUCCUUUCAUAAUUCGUAAUUAAUCCUUGUAUUGUUUGUUGGAUUAGGCCUAACUUUCUUGACCAAACUACGAGCGCGGAACUUUACGAGAUGAAAUAGGGAAAGACAGAAGAUAGAAUAGAACUUAAAAGGAUAAUUGAAGUGACUUGUCUUCGAAUCUACUUUGGUUGGAGUUCGAAAAAGGAAUAAAAAUAAAGUAAAUUCAAGGAAGAGCUUUCUUUUUUUAACAGCCCCUUGGCAGGUCGUGGAAUGCUUUUGUUCUCCUCUUAUUCCAUAUGGAAUACAAUCAGUUAAAAUAAGAAGGAAUAGGGGAAUAUUCGAUCGUUCACUCCAAAAAGAGGGUCCUAUUGAAAAAGAAAUUAUCCAAAAUAGAAAGAAGUUUUUUUUUCAAUUCAAUUGUUUAUUUAUCUCUUAUUCAAAAGUUUCCUUGAAAAUCGAAUUUCAUUUUUUCAUUCAAUGGGGUUAGAUGAUCUAGUUCUUAAUAUUAUUACUUUACUCAAUUGACAAAUUCCACAACAAAUCUCUUGAUUCAGAAUUAGGGACUCAUGUAUCAUCUGAUGAAUCCACUUUCUUUUACACUUCUGUAUCUUACUCUAUCUUGUUUUUUAGUAUUAUCUAAAAUAACUGAUGAAUUAUGAAUUUUCCAUAACUUAGGUAAAUGCUUUACCAACAUAUGUAGUGUAGUAAAAAAAAUGGAAUUUAACUCUUUCAUGCUUACUUUAACUAGUUAUUUUGGUUUUCUACUGGCUGCUUUAACUAUAACCCCAGCUCUAUUUAUUGGCUUGAACAAGAUACACCUUAUUUGAAUUGACUGAAUAAUUAUAAUUCAGAAAAGAAAAAUCUUUCUUUGGGAUUCCUGGCAUUCUACGACUCUUUUCCAGACUAAUUAGGAAUUCUUUUCUUGGUCAUUGAGAUUCGUGGAUAAUUUAGAGUACUAUUUAGGGAUAGAUCGUACCUCUUUUUUUAUCCCCUCGAACAAAUCGAAAUGAUUGAAGUUUUUCUAUUUGGAAUCGUCUUAGGACUAAUUCCUAUUACUUUAGCGGGAUUAUUCGUGACUGCGUAUUUGCAAUACAUGCGUGGGGGUCAGUUGGAUCUUUGAUUGAGUCAUUUUUUUUGAUUGACCUCCUCCAGACCAGAGAGGAGGUCAAAUUGAAAUUGGAGUUACAAUUCAAUUUUGUUAAGUUAUUUUACUCUGCUUCGACAUAAGAUAGAUGGAAUCACGCUCUGUAGGAUUUGAACCUACGACAUCGGGUUUUGGAGACCCGCAUUCUACCGAACUGAACUAAGAGCGCUUUCAUUCAUUCAAAAAGAAAAUAUUUUUCUAUUCCUAAUGUAUCUCACGUACGUAUAGUCUCCACAAAUUCAAGUUAUACCCACUUUACUUUAAUUGAUCUCGUCGCUACUUCCUAUAAAGAAGAAAGAAGUAAUAGGUAGGGAUGACAGGAUUUGAACCUGUGACAUUUUGUACCCAAAACAAACGCGCUACCAAGCUGCGCUACAUCCCUUUUCGAAAUUAAAUUGUUGUACAAUGCCAUUGUACACAAUUCCUGUCUUCUUUUCCACAUCAUAAUUUUCUUGUUCUUUCUAUUUUCUUCUUCUUUCUUUCUCUAUCUAUAUAUAGAACCCUCAUGUCAUUUCUUCUUUUUGGUCUCAUAUAAUUAAGGAAUUAUAUACAUAUAAAAUCCAAUAUAAUUUGGCCUAUAAAAGAAGGAUUACUUUUCCUUGGUAAUAUAUAGGAAGAAGGGGUCAUCUUUUUCUUUUUUAGGGAUAGGAAAAUUUCGUCGAUAUGGUUCAUUUUAUAUAUAGCAUAACAAUCUUGGGCAAGAGUUUAUGAUCAUAUAUGUAUUCCAACAAGGAAGGAGGAUUUUCAAUGCGGGAUAUAAAAACAUAUCUCUCUGUAGCACCCGUGCUAAGUACUCUAUGGUUUGGUGCUUUAGAAGGUUUAUUGAUAGAAAUUAAUCGUUUAUUCCCAGAUGCUUUGUCAUUCCCUUUUUUUAAUUCUAGUUAUUGCUAUGGAAGGGAUAGAUUUCUUCGUGAUAUGACAAAAUUUGAUCCUUUUCAAUCUUUUUUUAGUAUCGGAAGGAAAAGGAAAGAAAAGAUGGAUUGGGUUGAACCUCAGAGUCAUUAAAAAUUUGGUAAACCCCAUUUUUGAAAAUAGAAAUUCAAUUUAAAGGGGUACCCAAGCUAAAUAAGGCCUCAGAAAUUAGAGCAUAGAAAAGGCGGGGCUGGCUAAUUAAAUGAAAGGAUUUCGAACCAAAAUCUUUGCUAAUUCAACAAGGAUUGUAUUCUUUAAUUAUUUCUCUAUUUUUUAUUACUUAAUUUAAGAAUAAAAAAAAUAUUCUAAUGAAUUUUAUUCUUCUUCUUCGGAUUCAAAAUAGAAGAAUGAAAGAAUAAGUAGAAUAAUUAAGUUAAGUCAAUCCAAAAAGAAAAGGAGGUUCAUGGCCAAGGGAAAAGAUGUUAGAAUCAGAGUUAUUUUGGAAUACAUCAGUUGUGUUCAAAAAGGUGCCAAUGAGGAAUCGACGGGGAUUUCUAGAUACAGUACUCAAAAGAAUCGCCACAAUACACCCGGACAAUUAGAAUUCAAAAAUUUUUGUCGUUAUUGUCGCAAGCAUAUGACUCAUCACGAAAUAAAGAAAUAGGAACAUCGUGUGUUCGAUCUUUCCAAACAACAGAAAGAGUAAGAACUUCAUAUUCAAUAUAUAAAGAAAACAUAGUAUAGAAUACAAAAUACAAAUCAACUCAUCUGAUUUCCGGUAGAUAUUAUUUCAUAUGUAUAGAGGGUAUUCAUAUACUAUAAUAUGAAUCAAAUAAGAUAUGGAUCAAAGAAAAACUACUUCUUCUGGAUCCUAAAUUAAUAAAAUAAAGAAGUGAAUUUUCAAAUUUUCAAAUUUUAAAUAAGGAAUAAAUCAUGUAUACAUCUAAACAACCUUUUCUUAAAUCUAAGCAACCCUUUAGUAAAUCCAAGCAAAAUUUUAAUAAAUCCAAGCAACCCUUUCGUAAAUCCAAGCAAACUUUUCGUAAAUUCAAGCAACCUUUUCGUAAAUCUAAACAACCUUUUCGUAGGCGUCCUCGGAUUGGCCCGAGAGAUCGAAUUGAUUAUAGAAACAUGAGUUUAAUUAAUAGAUUUAUUAGUGAACAAGGAAAAAUAUUAUCGAGACGAAUAAAUAGAUUAACCUUGAAACAACAACGAUUAAUUACUCUUGCUAUAAAACAUGCUCGUAUUUUAUCUUUCUUACCGUUUCGUAACUAUGAGAACGAAAAGCAAUUUCAAGCCCAGUCAAUUUCAAUAAUUACAGGUUCUAGACCCAGAAAAAUAGACAUAUUCCUCAAUUAACGCAAAAGUACAAUUCCAACCGAAACUUAAGAAACAACAACCAAAAUUUAAGAAACAACAACCGGAACUUAAGUUCUGAUUGUUGAUGUUUUAUUCGAAUUCGAAAGGGCCAGACCUAUAUAUAUUAUAAAGAAAGUAAUCCAGCUUGUUGAUUCCUACCACUUAAUCUUAAUUUAUUGUAUCUUCCCGGAGUUCCCUCUCCGGGAAUUCAUCUUUUUUUAUUCCAGUAUAUUACUUUAUUUAUACUUUUAAUUGAUGAUCUUUAUUUUAUUGGAAAUCGUGUAAAGAUUAUUUGGAUUUGAUACAGCUACUUGUGCAAGCAUUUUACGAUUAAGAAUGAAUUUCUUCUUGUACAGGUUGUGUAUUAAUUUACUAUAACUAUCGAAUACUUUAUAUACCCGCGUUGCUGCAUUUAUCUGAGUGAUCCACAAACGACGAAAAUCCCUCUUUUGCCUACCUCUAUCUCGAUGAGAGGAAACAAAAGCUCUUUUUACCUGUUGGGUAAUCAUUCGAUUAAGUCUUAAAUGAGCCCCUCUAAAGUUUGAGGCAAAUGAACGCAUUUUUGUUCGUCGUCUCCGGGCUAUAUAUCCUCGCGGAACUCUGGUCAUUGAAUCAAAUUAACCUUAAUGAAUAACUAAUGAUUUCUCUUCUUUUAGCCACCCUUUUUCUCAUUAAUAACAAAACUAAUUAUUCCGAUAUAUAAAAUAUUAAUUCCAAUGGCUUUUGCUAUAGUAACCUUCCCAACCACGAUUUUUUAUUCCACUCCGUUUAGUUAUUUCUAUACGAAAUAACAAAUUCAUUCUAAUAAUACUAAAAAAAAUAGUGGGUUCCAUCGUUUCUAUGGUUCCCUUUUAAACGGUGAGGCCCUCUCUAUACACCAGAGCCCUUUCUUUCAUCAAAAGGUAUUGCGAACUUGUAUAGUCCACAUUCUUUGGCUCUACCUAUCCAUUAUAGAGUAAAUAGCUCUUUUCACAAUAAGAGUUAUCCAUACAGUGACGGUAUUUAAUUAUGAAAGUUGGCUAAGUAGCUGACCCUGUUAGUCCGUUCUUUUAAGAUAAAGGAGCAUAAGCCUUUUUCUUUUUAUUACUAUUUCCUCCGCUUAAUGGAUAACCAUUUGCUACCAAUGGGAGAAUUGCUUCUUAUUUCCAAUUUAGAUAAUUGGAUUUGCACCAAAGGAAACCAUAAAUUCCAUAUACCAUAGAAAUCUAGGAUAGAGAAGCUAUAUCCUAUUCAUUGGUACUAAUCAUGGAUACUUCAAUUUUUUUAUAUUUGUUUGAAGUCAUGAUCUGAACGAGUCGCACAUACACCCUAGCACAUGUUCCUCGAUGCUGAGGGCAUCCUUUAAGCGCGGUCGUUUUUCGAGCAUUUCGUAUUGGCUGUCUUGCGUUUCUAAUAAGUUGUUUAACCGUCGGCAUGUUGUAUGUAUAUAGAAAAAAAUGGAUUGGUUUAGAUCCAUCUUAACCUGAUGAUUGCUCAUCAUGAAGUCUUUCUAUUUUCUAUUAAAUCGAGGAAAACACGAAUUUAGCUGUGAAAUAACUUUACAAGAAAUCCGGACACUACCAAUCCUUAAACAUUUCCGGAAACCACACUGGAUCAGUAUCGCAGUGCUUGUCAAUCAUUUCAUCCCCUACAAUAUCGACAAGUCCAUAAGCUUUGGCUUCGUCUGCUGACAUAAAAACAUCCCUUUCCAUGUCUUCGGAUACAACCCAAAAAGGCUUGCCUGUUCUUACUGCAUAAACCCUUGUGAUCAUUUCACGAACUUUGUGUAACUCUUCUACUUCUAGUAAAAAUUCUGGUGUCCUUGCCCGAUAAUAAGCACUAGCAGGUUGGUGAAGCAUAAUCCUCGCGUGAGGGAAUGCUAUACGCUUGGUGGGUUCUCCUCCAAGCAGAAUGAAGGAUGCCAUGGAGGCGGCUAUUCCGAGGCAUAUUGUAUAUAUAUCUGGUGUCACCGUUUGCAUCGUAUCAAAAAUAGCCAUUCCUGAGAUUAGCCACCCGCCGGGGGAAUUUAUAAACAAAAAAAUAUCACUAAUUCCAUCUUCUAUACUCAGAUAUACCAUGAGACCUGUAAUAUGAUUCGUGAUCUUGCAACGAAUCUCUUGACCUAAAAAAAGUGUCCUUUCUCGAUACAUAACAUUGUAUAAGUCAACCCAAGUCGCUUCUUCAUCUCCAGGAAUCUGGUAAGGUACUUUUGGAACACCAAUGGGCAUAUUAGAUUAAUAUUAUUAAAUUUAAGUAAGAAAACCACACUUUAAUAUGGAAACGUAAGAAUGGAACAGAAAGAAAGAAUCCGCAGUUUAUUGUCUUAAUUUUUAUUCUUAUUCUAUAUGAAUACUAUAGAUUCUAUUAAUACAUAGAUUGAAAGGUUAUACAUAUAAGGAAUGUAAGACAGAUUGAAUAAAGAAAAAGGAAUGGGUGAUUCGAAUGCUAAACAAAGAGGGGUAGCGAUCUAUUCUUCGUUUUUUCCAAAUUGGCCAAGUUACCCAUUGCACAUUAGCACUUAUCGAGUAUAGAAUAGAUCUGCUUCUCUUUCUUCUUAUGAACAGAAUUGGCUUCUUAUUUUUAAUGGAAUGAAAUAAAUAUUCGCGCUUUCUGACACAGAAUCCCCUAGAAGGGUUAGGUACAUAGGAUAUGGAUAGUCUUUUUCAAUGCGAUAAAAUAAAGCGACAUCGUGUCUAUUUUUCUUUGCUAAAGGGGUAUUUCCAUGGGUUUGCCUUGGUAUCGUGUUCACACUGUCGUAUUGAAUGAUACGGGUCGAUUGCUUGCGGUGCAUAUAAUGCACACAGCUCUAGUUUCUGGUUGGGCUGGCUCAAUGGCUUUAUAUGAAUUAGCAGUUUCUGAUCCCUCUGAUCCUGUUCUGGAUCCAAUGUGGAGACAAGGUAUGUUCGUAAUUCCCUUCAUGACUCGUUUAGGAAUAACGGAUUCGUGGGGUGGUUGGAGUAUUUCAGGAGGAACUGUAACAAAUCCGGGUAUUUGGAGUUAUGAAGGUGUGGCAGGUACGCAUAUUGUGUUUUCUGGCUUGUGUUUCUUGGCAGCGAUCUGGCAUUGGGUAUAUUGGGACCUAGAAAUAUUCUCUGAUGAGCGGACGGGAAAACCCUCUUUGGAUAUGCCCAAGAUCUUUGGAAUUCAUUUAUUUAUUGCAGGGGUGGCUUGCUUUGGCUUUGGGGCAUUUCAUGUAACGGGUUUGUAUGGUCCUGGGAUAUGGGUAUCCGAUCCUUAUGGACUAACUGGAAAAGUACAAGCUAUAAAUCCAGUGUGGGGUGCAGAAGGUUUUGUUCCUUUUGUUCCGGGGGGAAUAGCUUCUCAUCAUAUUGCUGCGGGUACAUUGGGUAUAUUAGCGGGCUUAUUCCAUCUUAGUGUCCGUCCGCCUCAACGUCUAUAUAAAGGAUUACGUAUGGGCAAUAUUGAAACUGUACUUUCUAGUAGUAUCGCUGCUGUUUUUUUGCAGCUUUCGUAGUUGCUGGAACUAUGUGGUAUGGGUGAGCAACGACCCCAAUCGAAUUAUUUGGGCCUACUCGUUAUCAGUGGGAUCAGGGAUACUUUCAGCAAGAAAUAUAUCGAAGAGUUAGCAAUGGUUUAGCCGAAAAUCUUAGUUUAUCAGAAGCUUGGUCUAAAAUUCCCGAAAAUUAGCCUUUUAUGAUUAUAUUGGUAAUAAUCCGGCAAAAGGGGGAUUAUUCAGAGCAGGCUCAAUGGACAAUGGGGAUGGAAUAGCUGUUGGAUGGUUAGGACAUCCCGUCUUUAGAGAUAAAGAAGGACGUGAGCUUUUUGUACGCCGUAUGCCUACUUUUUUUGAAACAUUUCCGGUUGUUUUGGUAGAUGAGGAGGGAAUUGUUAGAGCAGACGUUCCUUUUAGAAGAGCAGAAUCCAAAUAUAGUGUUGAACAAGUAGGCGAACUUAAUGGAGUAAGUUAUUCUGAUCCUGCUACUGUAAAAAAAUAUGUGAGGCGUUCUCAAUUAGGGGAAAUUUUUGAAUUAGACCGGGCUACUUUGAAAUCUGAUGGUGUUUUUCGCAGCAGUCCAAGGGGUUGGUUCACUUUUGGUCAUGCUACCUUUGCUUUGCUCUUCUUUUUCGGACACAUUUGGCAUGGCGCUAGAACAUUGUUCCGAGAUGUUUUUGCUGGUAUUGAUCCAGAUUUGGAUGCUCAAGUGGAAUUUGGAACAUUCCAAAAAGUGGGAGAUCCAACUACAAGGAAACAGGCAGCCUGAUACACAUUGUUAUAGUAUCUCUCACCUCUCUUUUUUGAUUUGACAUGGGAAACAUCUCCCAUCCUUUCUUUGACUCUUUUUCUUUCUUUAUAUGGGAAAUUAUCCCAAAUGACAAAUGAAUAGGUGUGGAAGUUAUAAUUGUAAAUAAACCAGGAUCGAAUCUAUGGAAGCAUUGGUUUAUACGUUCCUUUUAGUUUCGACUUUAGGGAUAAUUUUUUUUGCUAUCUUCUUCCGAGAACCACCUAAGGUUCCACCAACUCCAACUAAAAGAAUAAAAUAAUUUCAUUUAAGUAAGAAGUCUCCCAGAUAGGGGGACUUCUUACUUAAAUUAGUCUCCGUGUUCUUCGAAUGGAUCUCUUAAUUGUUGAGAGGGUUGCCCAAACGCGGUAUAUAAGGCAUACCCAGUAAAGCUUACAAGUAAACCAGAUAUGGAGAUGGCGACUAAAGUUGCUGUUUCCAUUUUUAUAGAAUUUCAAGAUUACAAUGGAUCUACGAAAAGAUCGUGUAUUUACAACUACAAGGAAACAGGCAGCCUGAUACACAUUGUUAUAGUAUCUUUCACCUCUCUUUUUUGAUUUGACAUGGGAAACAUCUCCCAUCCUUUCUUUGACUCUUUUUCUUUCUUUAUAUGGGAAAUUAUCCCAAAUGACAAAUGAAUAGGUGUGGAAGUUAUAAUUGUAAAUAAACCAGGAUCGAAUCUAUGGAAGCAUUGGUUUAUACGUUCCUUUUAGUUUCGACUUUAGGGAUAAUUUUUUUCGCUAUCUUCUUCCGAGAACCACCUAAGGUUCCACCAACUCCAACUAAAAGAAUAAAAUAAUUUCAUUUAAGUAAGAAGUCUCCCAGAUAGGGGGACUUCUUACUUAAAUUAGUCUCCGUGUUCUUCGAAUGGAUCUCUUAAUUGUUGAGAGGGUUGCCCAAACGCGGUAUAUAAGGCAUACCCAGUAAAGCUUACAAGUAAACCAGAUAUGGCGAUGGCGACUAAAGUUGCUGUUUCCAUUUUUAUAGAAUUUCAAGAUUACAAUGGAUCUACGAAAAGAUCGUGUAUUUACAACUACAACGGAAUAGUAUACAAAGUCAACACCAAUGAUUAAAUAGAAUUUAUGGCUACACAAACCGUUGAAGAUAGUUCUAAACCUAGGCCAAAACGAACUGGUGCAGGUAGUUUACUGAAACCCUUGAAUUCGGAAUAUGGGAAAGUCGCCCCGGGUUGGGGGACUACUCCUUUUAUGGGGGUCGCAAUGGCUUUAUUCGCUAUAUUCCUAUCUAUCAUUUUAGAAAUUUAUAAUUCUUCCGUUUUACUGGACGGAAUUUUAACCAAUUAGGUUUCUACUAACUAAAACUAGGAAGUCUCCCAGAUAGGGGGACUUCUUACUUAAAUUAGUCUCCGUGUUCUUCGAAUGGAUCUCUUAAUUGUUGAGAGGGUUGCCCAAACGCGGUAUAUAAGGCAUACCCAGUAAAGCUUACAAGUAAACCAGAUAUGGAGAUGGCGACUAAAGUUGCUGUUUCCAUUUUUAUAGAAUUUCAAGAUUACAAUGGAUCUACGAAAAGAUCGUGUAUUUACAACUACAACGGAAUAGUAUACAAAGUCAACACCAAUGAUUAAAUAGAAUUUAUGGCUACACAAACCGUUGAAGAUAGUUCUAAACCUAGGCCAAAACGAACUGGUGCAGGUAGUUUACUGAAACCCUUGAAUUCGGAAUAUGGGAAAGUCGCCCCGGGUUGGGGGACUACUCCUUUUAUGGGGGUCGCAAUGGCUUUAUACGUUCCUUUUAGUUUCGACUUUAGGGAUAAUUUUUUUCGCUAUCUUCUUCCGAGAACCACCUAAGGUUCCACCAACUCCAACUAAAAGAAUAAAAUAAUUUCAUUUAAGUAAGAAGUCUCCCAGAUAGGGGGACUUCUUACUUAAAUUAGUCUCCGUGUUCUUCGAAUGGAUCUCUUAAUUGUUGAGAGGGUUGCCCAAACGCGGUAUAUAAGGCAUACCCAGUAAAGCUUACAAGUAAACCAGAUAUGGAGAUGGCGACUAAAGUUGCUGUUUCCAUUUUUAUAGAAUUUCAAGAUUACAAUGGAUCUACGAAAAGAUCGUGUAUUUACAACUACAACGGAAUAGUAUACAAAGUCAACACCAAUGAUUAAAUAGAAUUUAUGGCUACACAAACCGUUGAAGAUAGUUCUAAACCUAGGCCAAAACGAACUGGUGCAGGUAGUUUACUGAAACCCUUGAAUUCGGAAUAUGGGAAAGUCGCCCCGGGUUGGGGGACUACUCCUUUUAUGGGGGUCGCAAUGACUUUAUUUGCUAUAUUCCUAUCUAUCAUUUUAGAAAUUUAUAAUUCUUCCGUUUUACUGGACGGAAUUUUAACCAAUUAGGUUUCUACUAACUAAAACUAGGAAGUCAGAAUUUUUCCAUCCAAAAAAGCCUUUCUAGUUUAAGAUCUACAUUUCUAGAUAUUAUGGUAGUUCGACCGCAGAAUUUUUUUGUUUCGGUAUCUCUGGAAUAUGAGUGUGUGACUUGUUAGAAUUGAUCCUAUUGAUAAUACAUAGAAAGGGCCUGUUAUCUCUAUCAAGAUGAUUCUAAUUCGCCAUAUAUUAUUUAUUCUAGUAUCUGGAACACGAAAUAGAUAGAGUGGAUAAAAAAAUGGAACUAUGAUUCAUACUCACUAUUAAGACCUCGCAACCAGACUGAAAAAUUCAAGUAGUUCUUAAAUAAAAAUAAAAAAGAAAUUUUCUUCCUUCCAAUUUUGUUUGCCCAAAAGACAACUUUUUUUCUCUCGAUUUUGUCGAGUCAUUACACUGAUUCAAUAAAUGAUUAUCAAGCGGUUCUUAUUCGAAGAACCCUUGCCUUUUGUUUAGCUUGAGACUAAAUCAUCGUGGCUCUAGUAUGAAUCUAAGGUUUUAAUUGAACUGAUUCAUAGGAUCUCAACAAGAUAAUUUCUAUAUUAUGCAUAAAAAAACAAAUCCUUUAUAGGGAAGAGAAAAGUCAAGAAGCCUCUAAUGACCAACAUAAGGGAAAGGAAGAAAGAAAGACGCGCCAACUUGAGAUUUUUUGGCAUUAUCAUCACAAAGAAGAUAUUCCGGAUUUUUCUUAUUUGAUAUCUUCAAGGCAAAUCGACCCAAUUCAGUGGCUGAUGAAGUUUUGAACCUUUUUCUAAUAUUCGUUGAAAAGUUUUGUGUUUCUGCUUGAGCCGUACGAGAUGAAAUUUUCAUAUACGGCUCUUAGAGGGGGACUCGGGUUAGUUACCUAUCUCAAUAAAGUAUAUGAUUGGUUUGAGGAACGUCUUGAGAUUCAGGCAAUUGCAGAUGAUAUAACUAGUAAAUACGUUCCUCCCCAUGUCAACAUAUUUUAUUGUUUAGGGGGAAUUACACUUACUUGUUUUCUAGUACAAGUCGCUACCGGUUUUGCUAUGACUUUUUACUACCGACCAACCGUUACAGAGGCUUUUUCCUUGGUUCAAUACAUAAUGACCGAGGCCAACUUUGGUUGGUUAAUCCGAUCCGUUCAUCGAUGGUCAGCAAGUAUGAUGGUUUUAAUGAUGAUCCUGCAUGUAUUUCGUGUGUAUCUCACAGGGGGAUUUAAAAAACCCCGUGAAUUAACUUGGGUCACAGGUGUGGUUUUGGCUGUUUUGACUGCAUCAUUUGGUGUAACUGGUUAUUCUUUGCCUUGGGAUCAAAUUGGCUAUUGGGCAGUCAAAAUUGUGAAAGGUGUACCUGACGCCAUUCCGGUAAUAGGAUCGCCUUUAGUGGAGUUAUUACGCGGAAGUGCUAGUGUGGGCCAAUCCACUUUGACUCGUUUUUAUAGUGUACAUACCUUUGUACCGCCUCUGCUUACUGCCGUAUUUAUGUUAAUGCACUUUCCAAUGAUACGUAAGCAAGGUAUUUCGGGUCCUUUAUAGGGAAGGCAUAUCAUAGAGAAUUAUAAUUAUCAUAUAUCAUAUCGGGUAGGUUGUGGUAUUUCAUUGCUACAAGCAUGGGUUAUUGUAAAAUAACACAUGUCAUUUGGAUACUUCUCUUCAACUCCAAAGUAUUUUUAUACAAUACAAAUAGUUAAAGUUAAUUUUACGAAAGAAAAAAGGCGGAUUAUGGGAGUGUGUGACUUGAAUUAUUGAUUUGGCCAUGCAGAUAAAGAAUUGGAUCUGCCACAUUAGAAUUCACAACCAAAGGUGUCUCCGCAUCCAAUCAACAUGUAAGUCCCCUACCUAGGAAGGAUAGGCUGGUUCACUUGAGGAGAAUAUCUUCUAUGAUCAUACCGCAACCAUGUCAUCCAUGAACAGGCUCCGUAAGAUCCCAUAGAGUAGAAAUGGAAUAAGUCAUGUGACAUGAUCCAGUUCUCUAUUUAUUACACUUACCUUUUUAUUAUAGUAUGGAAAUGCAUUCAUUUUCUUUGCAUCGAUUGUGAUCCGCAAUACUAUCAGAGUAAAAGAAGGGAUCUAAGGAAGAAUGUAGGCUAAACUUUUUGAUUUUUUAUUAGUAACAAGUAAAUAUUUUGUUUGGAGGUAAGAAACUUGCGAUAUUGAGGGGAUAAAUACCAACUAAUCAAGAGACAUGAGACAAUCCACAAAGCAAUUGAUCAUGAUCAAAUUUGUAAGCCCACUUGGAUAUUGAGCAUUUACCCAUAAGAAUAGGAUUAUUUUCAAUGAGUAGUUGUAGGUGCAACUUGGGAAAAGAGAAUCUGAUAAAGCUUUUCUUGCCUAGAGUCAUUGAGUCAUUAUAUACCUUAAUUCUAUUAAGGAUCUUCCGCGGUCUUAUUUCUUUCACUCUUGCUCGAGCCGGAUGAUGAUAAAUUCUCAUGUCCGGUUCCUUUGGGGGAUGGAUCCUAAAGAGUUCACCUAUCCCAAUAACAAAGAAACCAGACUUAAAUGAUCCUGUAUUAAGAGCUAAAUUAGCUAAAGGGAUGGGACAUAAUUAUUACGGGGAACCCGCAUGGCCCAACGAUCUUUUAUAUAUUUUUCCAGUAGUAAUUCUAGGUACUAUUGCAUGCAAUGUAGGUUUAGCGGUUCUCGAGCCAUCAAUGAUUGGUGAACCGGCAGAUCCGUUUGCAACUCCUCUGGAAAUAUUACCCGAGUGGUACUUCUUUCCCGUGUUUCAAAUACUCCGUACGGUACCCAAUAAGUUAUUGGGCGUUCUCUUAAUGGUUUCUGUGCCAACAGGCUUAUUGACAGUACCUUUUCUAGAGAAUGUCAAUAAAUUUCAAAAUCCAUUUCGCCGCCCAGUAGCUACGACCGUUUUUUUAAUCGGUACUGUAGUAGCUCUUUGGUUAGGUAUUGGAGCAACAUUACCCAUUGAUAAAUCAUUAACUUUAGGUCUUUUUUAGAUAUUUUUUGAUUCAUUCAACCGUGAAGUACCAUAGGUAUCUAGGAAAUAGUUACUUCCAAGUGAAUCUUCCCUAGAUACCUAAAAUCCAUUUUAUUAUGAUCCAUUUCGCGAAAAUAUAGAUUGUACCAAAGAUGCUAAAUUGUUUUCUUUUUAUUCUACCUUGAAAAAGAAGAAAAAAAAUUGCAAUGGAUUUAAAACGAGAGUUUAUUCUUAAGUAAAUCAAUUGGGAGAUGCUUCUCUAGAGUGUCCCAUAUAUGUUUUCUAUCUUCCAUACGAAAACUGUCAAUUCUCAGAAGAUCUUCUUCAGUCUUACUCAAAAGGUCCAAUAGUGUAUGUAUAUUGGCCCUUUUUAGACAAUUAUACGUUCUAGAAGUCAAUUCUAAUUGAUCAAUAAAAAUACAAUUCAAUGGAAUUCCUUUUUUGUUUUUCUUUAGAUUAGUUAAUCUUUUUUGAAAAGUAAAAAGGGGUGGAGUAAACCUGUUUUUAUUUUCUUCGAAACUAGCGCCCUCUUCCUCCGCGUGUAGAAAAGGAAGAAAUAAAUCAAUCAAAUUACGAGAAGCCUCAUAAAGUGCUUCCUUAGGGGUUAGACUUCCAUUAGUCCAUAUUUCUAGAAAAAGUAUCUCUUGUUUUUCAUUUCCAUUCCCACAAGAAAAAAUACUAUAAUUCACAUUUCGAACAGGCAUGGAUACAACAUCUAUAGGAUAACUUCCAUCUUGAUAGUUCUUUCUGAGUUCUGUCUGAUAUCCACGAUCUCUCUUGAUCUGUAAAUCAAUACAGAAAUCAAUGGGCUCUGUCAAGUUAGCUAUAGGUUGUGCCGUAUCAACGAUUUCUACGGAAGGCGGUAAGAUGAUAUCUUGAGCAGUUAUGUAUCUAGGACCUUUGACGCAAAUGGAUGCGUCUCUAACUCCAUAGAGAUUACUUCUCAAUACAAUUUCUUUCAAAUUUAGUAAAAUUUCUUGUACGGAUUCUUCAAUACCUGCUAUUGUAGAAUAUUCGUGCGGCACGCUCCCAAAUUUUGCACGUGUGAUACAUGUUCCUUCUAUUUCUCCAAGUAAAGCUCUUCUCAAGGCAAUACCGACGGUGUCCGCUUGACCUUUUCUAAGCGGGGACAGAAUGAAACGACCAUAAUAAAGGCGCUUACUAUCUACUCUUGAUUCAACACACUUCCACUGUAGUGUUUGAGUGGAUCCUGCUACCUCCUCUCGAACCAUAAUAGACUAGUAUUAUUAUUUUAUCAUUGAAUCGUUUAUUUCUCUUGAAAUGAAAGUUGAAAGCGGGUUAAUUCUUUUACAGACGUCUUUUUUUAGGCGGUCGACAUCCAUUAUGUGGCAUAGGUGUUACAUCGCGUAUACAACUUAAUCGCACACCACUUUUAGCAAUGGCUCGUAAUGCGGCAUCUCUUCCACUACCAGCGCCCUUUACCAUAACUUCUGCUCGUUGCAAACCUACUGAACGAAUAGCAUCUACUGCUGUUCUUUGACCAGCAUUGGGUGAUGCUUUUCUUGAGCUUUUGAAUCCACAAGUACCGGCCGAGGACCAAAAAACCACCCGGCCUUGUGGGUCUGUAACAGUUAUAAUGGUAUUGUUGAAACUAGCUUGAACAUGAAUAACCCCUUUUGUUAUUCUACGUGCACUCUUCCGUAAACUAAAACGUGCAUUCCUACGUAAACCAAUACGCACUUUCUUACGUGAACCAAUUUUUGGUAUAGCUUUUGCCAUAUUUUAUUAUCUCAUAAAUAUGAGUUAGAAAUAAAAAAAAGAAAAAAAGAUACAAAGAUAUCCGUUUCAGGGUAAAAUAAACCCUUUACUUUAAUUAUUUUAAAUGAAAUUAUUUUAUUUGGAAUUGGAACAUUUCCGCGGGUACUUUUUUUACUUUUUAGAAAGUAAAGUUCUUUUUGAAAGAUUACCCCUGUCUUUGUUUAUGCUUCGGAUUAGAGGAAAUGACUCUAAUUCGUCCACGCCUACGAAUCAGUCGACAUUUUGUACAAAUUUUACGAACGGAAGCUCUUAUUUUCAUAUUUCCGUAUCUUUUUUUAAACUAUGAAUCUAAUCUUUUGGAAAAAGUAAGUCUCUUCGCUUGAAUUUUAGAACUUAGAAUUUAUUACCCUAGAAAAAAAAAGAAAAACCUAAUCCUUUGAAUCUUUGGUAUCCUUCAAAUCUUCGCUAUCCUUCAAAUCUUCACUAUCCUUCGAGUCUUCAAUACGCUUCGAAUCCUUAUGGGGAAGUCUAUAAAUUAUACGUCGCUUGCUUGAAUCAUAACGACUUACUUCAAUUUUGACCCUAUCCCCCAUCAGUAUUCGUAUAGAACUAGACCGUAUCUUUCCUGAAAUAUAGCCUAGGAUGAUGGUGUCAUUCUCUAGCCGAACGCGGAACAUUCCAUUGGGUAGGGCUUCCGUAACUAAACCUUCGAAAGUUACUUUUGCUUCUCUCGGGGUUUUUUUUCUCUCCUAUUUUUUUUUCUGUCAUAUUUUUUUUCUCCUAUUUUUCUAAUUUUAUUUUAAAAAUAGGAAGGGCGAGAUAGAAUUCGAGCACUAUAGGCGGGGCGAUUACCAUAUAUAAAAUAAGACUUCUCCCCAAUUCUGUUUAGUCAAGCUUCUCGAUCUGUCAUUAUUCCUCGAGAAGUAGAAAGAAUAGCAAUUCCCAUUCCACCCAAAACUUUAGGAAUUCCUUGAUAGUUGGUAUAAAUUCGUAAGCCGGGUCGGCUGAUACGCUUUAAAAAGGUUCUUGUUCUAUAUAUCCCUUUUCUAGUCUUUCUCUUUUGAUGUCGCAAAGUUGAAACUAAGAAAUAUCUGUUACGUUCCUGAUGUUUCCGAACACUUUCAAUAAAACCCUCUCGUAGAAGUAUUUUCACAAUGUUUUCGGUAAUAUUUGUAGAUACUACUCGAACUGUUCCUUUUUAUUCAUGUCCGCAUUUCUUAUAGAGGUUAGUAAAUCAGCAAUAGUGUCCUUGCCCAUAAGACUCUAAUUCUAGGUUCCUCCUAAUUUUUCUAUAAUCAACAUGUUUUCUUUUUUUUCCAUUUUGGAUUUUAAAACAUAUACGUAAAACACAAUCUACUAAAUUAAUUCUUUGAUCUCAAUUUCGCCUACUAGUAUUUAUAAUACUUCAGGAGCUAAUGAAACUAUUUUGGUAAAAUUCAAUCCUCUCAAUUCCUCGGCAAUCGCGCCAAAAACUCGAGUUCCUUUUGGAUUGCCUUUUUGAUCAAUUAUAACCGCAGCAUUGUCAUCAUAGCGGAUUAUUAUACCGUCUUCGCAUUUGAACUCUUUACAUGUACGUACAAUUACAGCUCGAAUUACUUCGGAUCUUUCUAGAGGCAUUUGGGGCAAUGCGUCUUUGAUUACAGCAACAAUAACAUCACCAAUACGAGCAUAUCGCUGAUUACCAGCAGCUCCUAUGACUCGAAUACACAUCAAUUUUCGAGCUCCACUAUUAUCUGCUACAUUUAAAAGGGUCUGAGGUUGAAUCAUAUUAUUUUGAUUUCAAUUUGUUAUUUCAAUGCAAAAGGAUGAAAGAAAUAUUGUCUUUCCAAAAAGAAAAACCGGGCAUUUUUUUUAUCUUCCAUACCCCUUUUAGGGUUCUAUAUCUCUAAUCGAAUAAAUUGACUUCGUAUGGGCAUUUUACUGGCAGCUAUGGAGAUAGCUGCUCUAGCUACAGUUUCAGAUACUCCCCCCAUUUCAUAAAGUAUACGACCAGGUUUAACAACGGAUACCCAAUAUUUGGGGGACCCCUUUCCCGAGCCCAUACGUGUUUCUGUGGGUCUUAGUGUAACCGGUUUGUCGGGAAAUAUACGUACCCAUAUUUUUCCACCACGACGUGCAUAUCGUGUUAUUGCUCUUCGUCCUGCUUCUAUCUGUCUCGCCGUGAUCCAAGCGGGUUCAAGUGCUUGAAGAGCAUAUCUACCAAAACAAAUACGAUUGCCUUGGCAAGAUUUUCCUUUCAUUCUUCCUCUAUGUUGUUUGCGAAAUCUGGUUCUUUUGGGGUUAUAGUCGAUGGUUCUCUUUCUUAGUUCUAUCUCUACUGCAAAACUGGACAUGAGAGUUUCUUCUCAUCCAGCUCCUCGCGAAUGGAAUGAGAAAGCAUGUAAAUUUAUCUAAUUCAUAAUAUUCCAAAAUAUUACGGUACGGAUAGAUACACAUUAAUAGAUAAUAGAAAAAGUUCGGUUUUUUUAUAUUGAAUUUGUUAAAACAGAAAAAUAUAAUAUAUAGUCAAAAAAGAAGAUCUAGAAUAUAUCCAGAUGUGUGUGUAUAUUUACCUAAAUUCUAUAUUUAUAGAUAAUGUAAUCCUUCUUAAAAAAAUCCUUAUUUUGACUCUUAUUGAAUCACGGUAAAGUAUUCUAAUUCAAUAAGAAUUUCGCGGGCGAAUAUUUACUCUUUCCUGUCUUAUUUGUUAAUUUAUAAACUUACCAAAUAAGACAAUUUUUUUGGUUUGUUCCGCCAUCCCACCCAAUGAAGUGUUAGGAUUCUUUUCAAUAAAAUCUUAUGGAAUCGUAGGUUCUGUCGUUCCCACUGCUUCUCCUUGAAUGGUUAGGUCUGAAUCCCGCAACGGAGCUUCCAAAAAAUUUCUUUCCGAGUUAAUUUUCUCAGUUUUAUUAACCCGGGCGGCUCUUUAUUAUUGCUUUAAAUUUGUAGUUCUUGUUUCAAGUUAAAAUUUUUAAUUCUCUAUUAUUUUUCUUAUAUUGAUGCUUUAUCACAUUGCCUUUUAUGAUGUAAUUCAUAGACCAUACAUAGUGGAAUCCUAUAUCUUAUUUAUUUCCUCUUCCUUCUUUCUAUCAUCCCUCCCUUUAUCCACAUCCCUUUAGUUUUGCUUCACAACCUAGAAUCCCUUUUCUUUUUUAGAGAAAAAAUUGCAGUUGCUACAACUAUAUGACACAUCUACUCAUUUAUGAUAGAGGUAUUUAUUCAUAUAGUGACUGUUUCUUAGUUAGGAUCUCGACAAUACGAAGCAAUAGGUUGGUUAUUAGUUAAUUUUCUAUAAUUACUAAGUUUUUUCCGAAAAAAAGAAAAAAAUAACGAGUCACACACUAAGCAUAGCAAUUAUAUUAAAUGAUUUAUCAAUUUUCAUUAAAUCUUAUAGAAAGAGGUAUAAUUUCUUCUUUUGCAGGGAUUUUAGGAAAAAAGUCUCUUGUCAUUUUUUAUUCUAUCAAUGGACAGAAUCCGAAGACAAGAUUACUUAUUCUUCGUCUACGAAUAUCCAAAUUUUUACACCUAAUACUCCAUAGAUAGUCCGAAUUGGAUAGCAGCAAUAAUCAAUUUUAGCGCGAAUUGUUUGGAGGGGAAGUCUACCCUUUUUAAUGGAUUCGGCGCGUGCAAUUUCUUUUCCUCCGAGACGACCCGCAAUUUUUACUUUUACUCCCCUUAUAUCUGCUUUUUUAGUUAAUUCAAUGCCUUUUUUCAUUGCCUUUCGGAAUGAAACUCUAUUUUUUAAUUGGAAAGCUAUAUAUUCUGCAAGAAUGUUAGGCUGUCUAUAAGGUUCUUUAACUUUUUUGAUAGAAAUAUUAAAUCUCUGGUUUACAGAGUUAAUUUCCUUUUGUAGAUCUUUCUCUAAUUCUUCGAUUGCUCCUUUUUUCUUUAAUAAAUUUGGGAAUCCAAUAUGGAUUAUGACGUGGAUCGUAUCGAUUUCUUUUUGGAUUUCUAUAUGUGUAAUUACUUCGGAACUUGAACCUGAGUCCAUUUUUCUAUUAUGUGUAAUUACUUCGGAACUUGAGUCUGAUUCUAUUUUUCUAUUUGAGCCCUUUUUCCUAUUCUUUUGUAUAUAGUUCUUGAUACAAUCCCUUAUUUUUUUUAUCUUCCUGUAGACCUUCCGAAUAAUUUUUUGGUUGUGCGAACCAAAAGGAAUGGUGUUUUUGGGUUGUACCAAGUCUGAAACCGAGUGGAUUUAUUUUUUGUCCCAUAUUUUUCUAUUCUAUAUUUUUUUACUGGGAAUCGAAAUCUUAGAUGGAUCUAAAGGUUAUUUAGAUUUCUUUACUAUAGAUUUCUUAACUAUAUUUAGUACAAUUGUUAUAUGACACAUGCUUUUUUUAUGGGGAAACUACGUCCUCGAGCUCGAGGUCUGAAUUUCUUCAUAAUAGUACUCCUACUGACUUCGGCUUUAGUAAUAAAUAAAUUUGCUUUGUAGAAAUCCCUAUAAUGAGUAGCAUUUGCGGCUGCCGAAUAAACCAACUUUAAGAUGGGAUAAGAUGCUCGAUAGGGCAUGAGGUUCAGUAUCAUAACAGUUUCCUCGUAGUAACGCCAGCGAAUCUCGUCAAGAACUCUUUGUGCUUUGAAAACAGACAUAGGGAUACGUUUUUGUGCUUUGAAAACUCUCUCAAACUUAAGUAGACGAUCGGUUGGAACUUUCAUUGCGAGUUUCCUUAGCCCACUUUUCUUCUUCUUUAUCCUAGGGAUAUACUUUACUAGUUUGACACUUGUCAUAAAUAAGGUUAUUCCCCGCCUACCUUUACUUUAUUUGAAUCUUUUUUUUCUUCUUAAUCUUUCUAUUCAGAAUUCAGUUAACGACGAGAUUUAGUAUCCUUUCUUGCAUUUUCAUAACUCGUGAAAUGCCGAGUAGGCACGAAUUCCCCAAAUUUGCGACCUACCAUAGGAUUUGUUAUGUAAAUAGGUAUAUGUUACUUUCCAUUAUGAAUCGCGAUUGUAUGGCCAACCAUUGUGGGUAGAAUGCUAGAUGCCCGGGACCACGUUACUAUUGUUUCUUUCUCCUCCUUCAUAUUGACCUUUUCUAUCUUUGCCAAUAAAUGAUGAGCUACAAAAGGAUUCAUUUUUUUUCGUGUCACAGCUGAUUACUCCUUUUUUCCUUUUUAAAGAGUGGCAUUCUAUGUCCAAUAUCUCGAUCGAAGUACGGAGGUCAGAAUAAAUAGAAUAAUGAUCAAUGGAAAAAAGAAAAAAAUCCUUUAGCUGGAUAAGGGGCGGAUGUAGCCAAGUGGAUCAAGGCAGUGGAUUGUGAAUCCACCAUGCGCGGGUUCAAUUCCCGUCGUUCGCCCAUCGCAUUAUUGCAAAUUCCAAAAAUGCAAUUUUCCAUAUUCCUAGUUACGUAUUUACUUACGGCGACGAAGAAUAAAACUAUCGCUAUAUUUUUUCCUUUUCCUAGUUCUUCUUCCAAGCGCAGGAUAACCCCAAGGGGUUGUGGGUUUUUUUCUACCAAUGGGAGCUUUCCCUUCACCGCCCCCAUGGGGGUGGUCCACAGGGUUCAUAACUACCCCUCUUAAUACGGGGCGUUUACCUAGCCAACACUUAGAUCCGGCUCUACCCAAACUUUUUUGGUUCACCCCAACAUUACCCACUUGUCCGACUGUUGCUAAGCAGUUUUGGGAUACUAAACGGACCUCCCCAGAUGGUAAUCUUAAAGUGGCCGAUUUACCCUCUUUUGCAAUGAGUUUCGCUACAGCACCUGCUGCUCUAGCUAAUUGCCCACCCCUUCCACGUGUGAUUUCUAUGUUAUGCAUGGCCGUGCCUAAGGGCAUAUCGGUUGAAGUAGAUUCUUCUUUUCUCUCAAAAAACCCCUUCCCAAACUGUACAAGCUUCUUCCAAAGCAUACGGCUUUCUAGAUGUAUAUGACGAUCUCUAGACAGAUGGAUCUUAUAUGAAUCAUAUGAUGAAGUACCACAUGAGUGGAUAUAUAGGAAAGGAAUCCAAAUCUGCCGAAUCGCUCAUGUUAUGAUCUUCUACAUCCUAGGUCUCUGCGUUCCGUCAUCUGGCUUAUGUUCUUCAUGUAGCAUUCAGAUCGAAUGACUUUAUGAAAUUACGUCGAUACUUCCACAUAUUAUGGGUAACGUAGGAGACAUCCCUAUUUUCCCCCGGGGGUCUUAAUUACCACUGCUUAGCUUUCAAUUUGCCUCUGACCAUCAAAUUAAAUGUGAAUAACCCGUCCUCCUCUCUUUGAAACAAGGGGUGCUUCCGGUUCUGUGCGUGCUUCAAACAAUUUUGUCUUCUCCAUAUUACCAUAUCUCUAGAGCCAAUAAUUUUCUAUGAGGAACUACUGAACUCAAUCACUUCCUGCCGUUACUCAACAGUUUUCUGUUGAGGUCUAUCCCGUAGAGGUAGUCAAAUUGGAUCAGUGAUCGAUUUCUAGGUUUCGUCGUAAACCUAAUUGGUUACUUCCAAUUACGUAAAUCAAUAGUUCAAACCGCACUCAAAGGUAGGGCAUUUCCCAUUGAUAUAGGAACUUUUGUACCAGAAACAAUAGUAUCUCCAAUUAUAGCCCCUCUGGGAUGUAAAAUAUAUCUCUUCUCACCAUCCCCAUAGUGUAUGAGACAAAUGUAUGCAUUUCGAUUAGGGUCGUAUUCUAUGGUUACGAUUCUACCAGAUAUGUCUUUUUGAUUCCGUCGAAAAUCUAUUUUACGGUAUAGGCGCUUAUGACCUCCCCCUCUAUGCCUUGCGGUAAUGAUUCCUCUGGAAUUACGACCUUUACCACAACGGUGCCGUCCAUGGAUCAAAUUAUUUCGUGGAUUGGAUUUCACUUGCCUGUCUACGGUUCCCUUGCGUGUGCUCGGGAUAGGUGUUUUGUAUAAAUCUUUCGCCGUAUUAUUAAGUAUUCUCCUUUAGUUUUUUUCUCUAUCUAGAAGUGGAAUAGAAUAACCCGGUUGAAGGGUAAUGAUCAUACGUCUGUAAUGCAUUGUAUGGCCCAGAAUAGGUCCUAUUCUUCUACCUUUUCCAGGUAGUCGAUGGCUAUUCACAGCUACCACCUUAACACCAAAGAAGAGUUCGACCCAAUGCUUUAUUUCUGUCUUAGUGAAUCCCGAUUCGACAUUAAAAGUAUAUUGAUUCUUUCCCAAUAAACGAAGACUUUUUUCUGUAAAUACUGCGUAUUUGAUUCCAUCCAUAAAUCGACUUUCCCUCCUAUGCUCUGAGUUCCAGUAUCGAUAAGAAUUCGAGUUCUUAUUGUUCUUAUGUUAUGGUAUGAAUAUACCAUACCAAUUCGUUAUGUAUGGAUGAUGGAUGAGAUUCCAUGGAUAGAGAGCCAGUUCCAAUAGAUUUAUGGAAUGUUCCCGUUUGUGUGCAUCCAGCAGGAAUUGAACCCGCAAAUUUACCAAUUAUGAGUUGGGCGCUUUAACCAUUCAGCCAUGGAUGCUUAACAGGGAUCAUCGUACAUCGUAAAUAACCAAUUUUCAUAUAGAAAGACAUAUCAUAGAAAAAUGAAAUCGAAAAUAUUCCGAGAUGGCAAAUAUUCGGAGAUGACUAUGAAAACACCUCUCUGGAUCCUCGAAUUGAAAGAGAGAUUGAGAGGGAUCAAGAAUCCUAAUUCUCGCUAUUUGGAAUGGAUCCAAUUCUAUUGAGUCUGACUCAUAGUGAUCAUUUCUCUUUAGCAAAGAAUGACCUUGGUUAUCAAAGGAUUGAACGACCGGGAUCCAUUUACUUAUGAUACCUAGUUGGCAUUGAUAACAAGGAUCUAAUGAAUUAUGAGUUUAAUAGAUCCUCUUUAGCAGAAAGACGUAUAUUCCUUGCUCAUUAUCAGACAAUCACUUAUUCCCAAACCUUGUGUGGGACUAAUCGUUUUCAUUUACCAUCUCAUGGAAAACCCUUUUCGUUCCGCUUAGCCCUAUCGGGUAUUUUAGUGUUAGGUUCUGUAGGAACUGGACGAUCCUAUUUGGUCAAAUACCUAACGAAAAAUUGCGAUUUUCCUUUCAUUAAGGUACGAGGGCUUCUUAUUCCACAAGAACGAAAGCACCUUUUCAUUCUUUCAUAUACUAGGGGUUUUUACUUGGAAAAGACAAUGUUCGAUACUAAACGAUUCGGGUCCAUAACCACGAGUUCCAGUGCACUAGAUCUUGUAGCACUUAGCAACGAAGCCCUAUCCAUUAGUAUUCCACAUAAGAAAUCCAUUCUAGAAAAAAAUACAAUUAGAUUAGCUCUUCAUAGACAAACUUGGGGUUUGCGAGCCAAGGUAAGAUCGGCUCGGGAUCAUGGGACCCUUUUCUAUCAGAUAGGAGGGGCUCUUGUACAAAAUAGACUUACUAAGUAAUAACCCCAUAGAAUCUAUCUAUAUAAAGAUAAAGAGGCAAUCGUGUCAGGAAGCGGGUUUUUCUUUGGCCAAAAGGUACUUCGAACUUGGAACGAGCAUGAAGAGAUUAACGAGAAUUCUUUCUCUUUUGAGUUUUUCUAGCGGACCUGCCGCGCAAGAUCUUUGGUCUUCCCCUGGAACCGAUGAAAAAAAGUGGAUCGCUUCUUAUGUACUCGCUCAGAAUGAUUCUUCUCUAUCUAUAGUUCAUGGCCUAUUAGAAGUAGAAGGUGCUCUGGUGCAAUCCUUACUGACAGAAAAAGAUUGCAGUCAGGUUGAUAAUAGUCGAGUGACAUUACUUCGUCGGUCCGAACUAAGGAAUCUGUUAGAAAUGUUUUGAAAUGGAUAUUGUUCUCUCUUUGAUCAGGGAUUGCUAUAUGAAAAGAAGUGGAGUUUGAAAAAGGGAACGGAAUGCUCAAACCGGAACUGCUAGAGGAACGAAUUUUCAAUAGCAUAACUUGGGCUCCUAGAAUAUGGCGCCCUUGGGACAAUCUAUUUGAUUGCAGGGUUUUGUUCCGAAGCAAAGAUAUCCGCGGAGGCCGGUUCGUUCGUCCUAUUCUGAUAUUCAGGACCAAGAGGUACUGGAUUCUCUUUCGGAUAGGCCCUGAAAGGAGAAGAAAGGCUGAAAUGCCAACGGACCUCUGUCUAUUCUCUAAUGCACCCGAUCCGAUAGUACCCGUUUUUGGAACGUCCAGUGCCAAAGUCACUGAAUGGGUAAGUCACCAAUCCAAUCCCUUUGACAAAUCGGAUGUAAUAUUAGAUAUCAUAUUCUAUAUAUAUAGAAAUAUCAUAGAUAGAAUAGACAUAUAGAAUUUUUGGUCGGCAAAUUCGAAGGAA